UGGUAUAAGGCAUAGUGACAUUGUCUUCUCUCUCACCCUACUCUAAUAAGGCUUUAAUAUCUGGAGCUUAUAGGUGGGAGAUAAAGUAUACAUACUUACAAGAUAUUUAUUGUGUAGUCAAACCAUGGAUCCAAAGAAACAAAUCAAUAAGCCAAAUCAAGAUGUGCAUGUGUGGCGAAUGAAUGGUGUAUGGUGAUGAUGGUGAUAAAAAUGGUGAAAGUCUAAUUCUACUUUUGCUCUUUUGAGGAGAUACAUACCUUCCUUGCUUUUUGAAACUUUAUGAGGAGAAUGAGAUGCUCUUCUUUUUCUUUUCUCUCAGAUGGGUAUCCUGUACCCCUAAUUCUACUGUCGGACACUUGUCCAUUUUUACCUCUCGUCUCACUUUUUCUUUCUUUCGAGGUUCCGGGCACUUGCCCCUUUUUAUUUCCUCGUUUAUUAUUUUUUUUUCUUUUCUUCUCUUUUCUUUUUUUUUCAGAGCACUCAUCUCCUGAAAUAAUGUAGCAAGUGGUAGUAACCAAAAUAACUGGAGCAUUUAUUUCACAGGGAAUAACAGGGAUAGGAAAAUGUUUUUGGCUAUUCUCUCUCGGAUUAGGAGUAGAAUGAUUUUGGGUGAAACUGGAGAUGGAAAUGGAUGGAUAUAUGUGGAUGGUACUUCCGGAGUAGAAGUAGCAUAUAUGAGUGAACGUGCAAGUGAAUCUUGAUUUAACCACAUGACAAGCUCCUAAGGGUCUACACAGCUUGACCACACUCAAUGCUCAUAAGCAGUAAAUAGUAAAUGUGUGGCUCAAAGUCUAGCAAGCAUGUAUAUAUGGCUGUGGUAGGAAUUUAAACUCUCAUCAUACAGGAACUCAUCAUGCAAUAUUUUUUAAAGAUUUUACAAAGAUAAAAUUCUCCAGAAUUCUAGCAUCUCUAGGAAUAGAUAAACAGCAGCUCAACCUUCCCAUAUCAUAUCCGUUAACAACUUAGAUUUCAGAUCAAGUUUUCAUCCCACAAGUUUAGUUCUAGAGCAAGCUUUAAAUUAUAACAGUUAUGUCUAAACUUGAGAGAGAACUUCAAAUUUGCAAAUUAGGCAGAGCAACUAUUCAUCAUAUCCAUGUUAGAGUUUUAUUAUUAAGAUUCAUAGCAAAAGUUAUUUAUUUAUUUAUUUAUUUAUUUAGCAAAGUAAGAAAAGAUAUAUAUAUAUAAGCAUAAAAUCUUUAUUUGGUUUUUCAUAGUUUAUGUAUUUUAAUAUUCUAAUAUAAUAUAAGUAUAAAGAUAGGUAGAAAUACUUAGCGAGAUAAAUGGGGGUGCUCUCCCCCAAGCUGAAUUUUGACAUAAUUUCUCUUAAUGUAGCUAGCAGGUGGUAGAGGUGUAUUUGAAAGUCAGCAGGAUUCUGACAGCGAUUAGAAUGUCCUCCAUCUGCUAGUCUUCUUGAUUCUUAAAUUCUGUGGAGCUCAAAUAGACAACAAAGCUUGUGGAACUAAUUAAGUGUUAGCAUAAAUAUCUAGCCUUCAUCACGUUGAGCUUCCUCAAUAAAUAUUACUCCCUGUUUUUAUAUUUUUAUUUUAUAAAGUAGAAAAGAAAUAUUUAUUUUAUUUUUAUGCCAACACAGUGAAGGUACUUAUGGAUUUUAUGCCAUUCGUAUACUCACAUGGGCCUUAGUAUUUUUUUUAACAUUUUUAUUUUCUUUUCAAGAUAGCAUGAUUAACUAAUAAUCUAUUUAAGGAAAGUAAAUAAUUAAAGGGAAUGCAGAAAGGAUAAAUAUGGAUAACUACCAAUCUUACCUUUCGGCGAGGGUUCAAUGUUUUAAGUCUUCUUGACAAGUCUUCUCACCGUGUUCAUUCUUCAGGUGCGUCAUUUGAUUCAGGUGCGGACCUUGACGUCUGCACCUUUUAAUACUGUGUCACCCAUGUUCUUCGUUUGCCCAGCAGUUCGAAGUGCGGUGUUAGCAGUAUCUUGCUCAGUGUGUUUGUGCUCGUAGUGUACCUGCUCAUAGAGACAAGGCAGAGAUCAAGUGCAUGGGCCCUGUUGGUGGAAAACACCAACAGAACCAAAAGUGUAUUUGUUCUUCUCUAACCUUAAGCAUAGUGAGCAAGACAAAGUUGAUGGAUGAUAAGUUCAGGAGUGUAGCACUUAUAACAUUUGUCAGAUCAGAUCGCUCAACCUUAUGGAAAGAUAAUCUAUUUAUGUAUAUGUCUUUUUCUUUAUAUCUCUCAAUGAUUGAAUGUGUAACAUUUUAGCUCAUAUGAUUAGGAGUGUGGGAUUACGGAGGUAGUACUAAGAACAAGGAUUAAAGGACUAAACAUGUUGAAUCAGUUGGGUUGGUUAAUCUAGAGUUGUAAAUCAUACACGUUUGUCUCUUUUAUUUAUAUGAACGCCAGAACCAAGGAGAAACUUACAAAAGUGAUAGUCAAGUACCUUAAAAUGUUACCUUGCUCGAAGAGUGAUGGUACAGUAUCAUCUUGUGGAAGCUUUCCUUUCUUAGCGGUUGUGCGUCGUGUUUGUGGCACCCUCCAUGGAUCAUCUCUCUAUGAUGAAUGAGCUAUGUCCUUCUUGUGCAAAUUGUUAAACUUCAUGUGUUACUCUCUUCGUCUCUGAUGUGAGUUUAUCUCAAGACUUCCCAAAUCGAUAUUGAAAGUUUUUCUGCAGGGCUUAGUCCGACAAAAAUAUACCAAUAUCUACUCAAGCAGUUUUUUUUUAGUUCAAUAACCAAACUAGACUCCAUGUCUAAUUAGAUUAAGGAAGGCUAUUUAACCUAAGCACCAUGCUUAAUUUAAAAGCCAAUGGAAGUAUGGCGAGUACUUCCAAACCAACACUUGCUAGUAAAUAGACAAAGGUAGCAUGACAGCAUUUAUAGAGAUCUACUCAAGUGGAGAUGAAGUAGUGUGAUUAGUAUUUAACAAAUUGAGCAUGUCUCAAAGGUAGGGACAACCAGCAUAGCAACAUGGCAAAGGAUGUUUUUAUGUAAAGUACUCCCCCAAGCUUGAAUUUUGCAAGUUUGGAUGAAUUUAAUUCAAUGUUGUAUGAUGAUUGGUUGGACAUACCUUGUGCUUGUCAUUCAUCCGAUCUUCUUGCUCUAAUCUUAGAAAGGUUAGUGACAAGAAUACCCGAAGGAAUAUUUUUUACAAUUAUCCUUAUAUUCUCAAUACACAAGGUAAUGUUGCAAAUAAUUAAAAGCUCAUGUUACGAUCUGAUCAGUGCUUAUUUUAAGAUACUAAGCUUGUCCUUGGGAAACCAUCAGUUUAUGUUGGCGAAGUGGUUUCCCCUCCGAUGCCAACCUAUAUCUAGAUCAACUCAACGAGACCUGCAAUAUUUAUUAUAGACAUAUGCAUCGACAACCACCCUUUUAAAGUUUUUAUAAAUAGAAAGAAAGAGGGGGUUGGAGAUCUCAAGUGUGGUGAUGUCGGAGAGACCAAUAGAUUGGGAAGAUGUUGCAUAUGAGCUUGGACUAAACGAAGUGGCUAUGAAAUAAAUUCCAUGCUCAUUAAUGUUAUCUUCGUCUCUAAUCUGAAUGUUCGGAGUUUCUCCUGGAUUGGUCUCACCUAUGUCCUCUUUUGUAGUUGGAUGAAUCUCAUCUUCAAAGGGAGUCAAGAACUCACCAUUUGAAAUUGAGCCAAAGUCAGAACCUAUUAAGGCUUCUUCCUUAUCCAUCCAUUCUACACAUUCUAGCCAUUUAGAACUUGUGAUCAAAAUAGGGGAGGUGUUAGAAUUUUCUAUAUGGCUUAGCUCUCCUUCUAUGGCAUUACUUGACAUGCCAUCCUUAUGGUCUUCAUGACUCCUAUGGUUUGGUCGUCUUGGUGAAUUGCUAGGAUCAUCAUGAGACUGAAAAGAAGAGGGAUAAGAGGGAUCUCUAAGGUCAAGGAUGGAUUUAGAACUUGUGAACAUGGAAGGGGAGUAGAUAGAAUUGUCUAUAUAGCUUAGCUCUCCUUCACUUGAUAUGUCAUCCUCGACUUCUUCAUGAUAGGAACCAGGACAUUCUCUAAGAGAAACAUUAUUGCAAUGAUUUGAAUUAUCCCUACUUGAAGGUCUCUUAUGGAACCAGAAGUCUAAACCAUCAGCAUCUAAAAGAUUUAAGGUCGGAAUUCCUUCCUCCCUUGGAGAAUUUUGGGGUAUUGAUGAUUUAGGAUCGAUAGCUAAAGUUUGGGAUUGAAGUGGUGGUGAUCUGGCUAUCGAAACUUCUUCUUCUUGUCUAGGAACUGGUUCUUUCUCUUUCUCAGGGAUAUAAAAGCUAGGAGACUUUCCGCUCAUUAAAUCAAUCAAAUUCCAAGCUUCACUAGCGGAUAGGUGGUGGAAAGAUCCUCCAGAGGCCGCAUGAAGGGUUUGCUUAUCUUCCUUACUAAGGCCCUCAAAAAAGUGAAUUAGAAGAACUUCUUCUGGAAUAGAAAGUUUUGGGCCAGUGAGAGUAAGGUUAAUAAAGCGGUCCCAUGAUUUGCCAAGAGAUUCUUCUUCCAGUUGUCUAAAAGAAAGAAUCUCACGCCGAAGUUCCACCACUUUGGAGAUUGGAAAAUAUUUAGAAAGAAAACUACUAUAUAACUCCUUCCAAUCUCCAUGAACACUCCCUACUUUGAGUUUAUACCAAUGUCUAGCUUUCCCCGUUAAAGAGAACGGAAAGAGCUUCCAUUUAAGGGUCUCAUCGGACAUGCCUUCUAUGCGAAGGAGGUCACAGAUUCGAUAAAACUCUCUUAGGUGUGUGUAUGGGUUUUCCUCACCUUCUCCUGAGAAAGGUUGUUUUUGAAUAAAUUCUAUGUAUUCGGGGUCUAUCUCAAAACUAGAUGCUAUGAUAGGCUUUGAAGAUUUUGGUGGUUCGAGAUGUGUGCCCAUAGGUCUAUGAAAUUCAUAGAUAGACAUGUUUGAAUUCAUAAUAGACCAGAGAUCAAGGAUUAGAUAAGAAGAAAGAAUAGCAGAGAUGAGGCAAAGGAUAAAAGGAAAAUAUUUUUUUUAUUUUAUAUUUUUUUUAAUAAAAUGAUUAAACUAGUACGUAGUCAACUCAGCAACCGUUUCCCCGGCAACGGCGCCAAAAAUGCUUGUUGACACUUGCUAACACCACUUGAAUACUAGGUUGUCAUCCCCAGCAUGGCACUAGAGUGUACUAUGGUAUUUAUACGCACACAGAUAAUCCGCAAGCGCACGGAUACCGUUGAAGCUUUUACCCGGUUAAAUGUUUUAUCGUAUCCACAGGGAAACGGGAGAACCAACUACGCUCUAACUUAAACAAGAUAGAUAGAUAGGUGUAAAUAGGAAAGAUGAUAGAAUCGAAUAAGAACAAUAUUAAAGGUAAGAUAACAGUGAGUGAUAAUAUGGGAAUAGAGAGUAGAGCAAUUCUAGUAUAUGGGCGAUGGUAGCAGAAUAGAGAGGAUAACUAUGGUUUCUCUACUUCAAAGGGGUAUGUCUAUGUCUGGGACGAACCACGUGAUAAGAGUACACCGCAAAGGAUGCUUAUCCAUAGGCCGAUAAACCCUACCCGUCCUGCUAACGAGAGGUGGACUACAGGGGACCAACGUAACUGUCACCUACGCGGCCUACCACACGAUCCAGCUAGUCAGGGGAUAUCCACAAGUAAUCUAGGUCUAAGCACCACGCUUACACCUAUACUACAACUCUAACCUAUAGGGUCCUAUAGAUUAGAAGUACUCAAAAGAGUUGUGAACCAGAACAUACAUGAUUAGUAAUUGCAUAAUGAAUUAGAAGUAGAUUACCAGAGUCAUCCCAUGAGCAAGCUUGAUUAGAGCUUGAUCAUGGCAAAGUACAACCGGAGGAAGAACCGACAGGCCGGCCUCUCCUCUAAUCCUCCUUCGCUCUCCAUCUCGCUACUAUCUAGAUCUACUCUAGUUUAGAGAAGAGAGGAGAGCUCUCAUCUCUAAACCCUAGCUUUUGCUCUGUCUAUGAAUAAUGAAUAAUGAUCAAGGGGUUGCCUCCUCCAGGGGCCAGGGGGUCUGGUUUUAUAGUCCCCUCAAGUGAACCUGGGCCGUUGGAUCAAACCGACAUUGAUUGAACGGUUAUUCUUGAUCCUUUAGGUCGGUGGAGCAUAAUCCGCGAGAUUGAGCGUGAUUGGCCACAGGAGGUGGGCGGGCGCCCAGUAGGACAGGGCGGGCGCCCUGUCUCUAGCCCCGUUUCGCCUCCGCUUCGGUCUCGUGGCUUCUGGAGUCUUCUAGAUGUAAGAUAAUUGCGCAGCACGUUAAUAUCUUUACGUAAUCCCGAUAUGUGGGCCUUUCUUCCAUAUUUCCUGAUAACCCCCUGCAGAAAUAGACAAACACCAAAACUCGUGGAAUUCUGUCAGAUAAAACCCUAAGUCUUGAUGUUGAUUUCAUUUGGAUCCUUUUCUUUGUUUAUUUGAUAGUUAAAUUUGAUACUUAAGGACCGUCAACAGACCCUAAGGCCUUGUAAUCAAUCUAUCAAUCAAUCAAACACACGUUUUUACUCAUAUCCCAGCAUCUACUUUUUCGACGAUUUCAUCAUAUUUUCCUUUUUAUUACGAGUUCUUAGGAGUUCGUCGACUUAAGCUCGGCGUAUUCUCAGGUUCCGUGUGAAUACCUCUUGGCCGUGGCAUCCGAGCGCAUCGCUGUUGUCGGGACCAAAGUAUUCGAGUUAUCACCUUUGCCGAUAGUAAGGUCAAAUCGGCUGGCACGCCUUAACGUUUGAAUCGGGUAUUAGCCCUUUGUGUUUUGCAAAUCAGCUUUUGCAUCAACACAUCUUUUGGCACGCCCAGUGGGACACUGAAUCAGUAUCAAGAUCGACAUGUCGACUACCGAGUUCGAUCAGGAAAACGUCAUCCCUGUGACAGAAGCCAAUGUCAAGGAUGAGCAGAAGCAAGCUAUUGCAAAAGCCAUGGAGGAUUACAAGUAGCAAUGUUUGAGGUCCUUCAGCAUCAACAGGAGCGGCGAAGUAAUCCAGAAGGAAGCACUGCCGAUGCCUCGGCAGGUUACUUUCAACGCUAAUCCUGGUAAACUUCAAGAUAUGGUUGAUAAUGCUAUUAACCAUGCCUUGAUCAAUCAAGCUGGUGUGUUGUCCAAUACGGUUUUCAAUGUCGUGGCUCUAACUUUCAAAGAAGGACCAUUGCCACCGAAUUAUGUGGGCCCUGCCUAUCAUCAGCUAGUAUCGCCAGUGGUUACGGCUCCAUCGGCUGCUACAGCCACUGCAGGCACAGAAACUACUACGCCUCCAAGCACGCUAGGAGUCUCUAAUGCGCAAACCAUGCCGAUGCCGUCCAAUCCAUCAACAUCAGAUGAUUCGAUCAAGCUUACUACAGAUCUAUUGGCAUCAGCAAUGUCGGGAUCUAUCCCUCCUAAUUGGUGGGGUUUCGGUAUGCCCCCGGAAUACUCGCUGAGGGCACCUGGCACAUCUCAGGCAGCUGACAUCAGAGGCAAGACUCCUAUGGCAUCGGCACCUCCAAAUAUGCCGAUGAAUCAGAGUCCCCAGUAUACUACAACUACUACUGCAAGACCUUGCAUUGGGAAUUCUCAAGCUCCAACAUUCCAGAUACCUAAUGCAUCGGCAAAUUCAAUGCCAACGCAACAGAGGUUUAUGACUCAGCCAGGGUAUGUCAAUUCAAUGAUAAUGCCCAAUUACCAGACAUCAGCAGGGUGUAUGCCGAUGAAUGCUAAUAGUGGAUGGCUUGGACAGCAAGUCUUUCCACAAAUGCCCCAACAGAAUCAUCAGGUUACAGGGUUUCAACAAGGCCAGAUCUACCCAGGAUUCUAGAACCAAGGGGUGGUCAAGCAGCCGAUGAAUCUCGGCCAACAGUUUGGUGGUCAACAUCCUGGUGGUCAGCAUAUUGGCGGUCAGUAGGUUGGUGGCCAAUUGAGCAACCCAAUAUUCCAUGCAGAUCGUGCACCGCACAGACAUGUGGAAGCUUACCAGCAGGUGCCAGAUCCGCAACCGCCUCAUCGGCAAGAUGCCUGUUGACGGUCCUUAAGUACUAAAAUUAAUAAUCGAAUAAACAUGAAAAAGGAUCAAUAUAAAACAAACAUCUAGAAUUAGGGUUUUAUCUGACAGAAUUCCACGAGCUUUGGUGUUUAUCUAUUUCUGCAGGGGUUUAUCAGAAAAUAUGGAGAGAAGGCCCACAUGUCAUGUUUACAACGAGAUAAUUACGUGCCGCGCAAUUUUCCUCGAUCAAGAAGGAUCCAGAAGCCACGGGAACGAACGGGACGUGAUUCGGGCUCGGGGGCUGGGCGCCCGCCCACCCCCCUUGGGCGCCCGCCCAGGGUUGGAGGCCAAACAGGACUCUGCUUCGGGACAACGCUCCACCGACCUAAAGGAUCAAUCUAAACCAUACAAUCUAUGUCGGUUUGAUCCAAUGGCUCACGUUCACUUGAGGGGACUAUAAAACCAGACCCCCUGGCCCCUGGAGGAGAGAGGAGAAAUCAUUAUUCAGAGGUAGCCAUCAAAGUUAGGCUUUAGAUCUCUCUCCCACAGAGAAUUAGAAUUAGCUACUCCCUAAUCCUUCAAGCUUAGAGGUUUGAUUAGAUAGCAAUUAGAGAAGUAGAGCACUACGCUCUGGAUUCGGAUCUUCGGUAAUAAAGAUUGGUAUUAUUCAUAUCUUUCUCUAAUUCUAUUGUUCUAAUUGCAUUAUGUUUCUAAUUAUUAUGUUCUUAGUUUGCAUAUAGUUCUAAUUGUUAAUGAGUUUAUGUAUAAGUUUGCAAAGCGCUUAGCUCUUGACGCGAGGGAGUUAGGUGAUAGAUCACAUGUGAGCGUGGUGCUUAGAUGUUAUUUAUCUGCAAAUGUAUCCUAUUGGCCGAGUCGUGUGGUAGUUCGCGAUAGUGACAGCUUCGUUGAUUCUUAUAUAGUCCACCCUCCGUUGAUAGGACAGGCAGAACCGGUAUUGUGGAGUAAGUCAUGCGAUGCUCUGAUUUACUUUAUCAAUGUUCCUUAUACAUGAAUGAAGAGUCUUUUAUGCUAUAUAUGAUCUUGUAGAUAACUAGAGUAGAUUAUGACUUAAUAGUUAGUAGAUAACUUAGAAUCCAUUCUCUAGCUAAUCCGACAUCACCUACAUAUAUGAGGAGUAGUCUAUUUUCUAAUCGCUGUGCUCUUUAUCCCAUGAACUUAUACUUUAUUAUCAUUAUCUUUAUGGUUUACCCCCUGCUAAAGUAAGUGACUGUGUGACGAGUUUCUUAUUAGUAAUCAUGUUCUUGCAAGUUUAUCUCUAGUCUAUGCCUUGAUAGAUUUUGCCCAUUGAUUUAAAUCCAUCUUCUUGAGAUCCCCUAAGCAAAAUUAUAAAUAACGAUACCUGGAAUACUUAUCCUGGUGAAAUGCUACAAUGAGGUGUUUUAUCUGUGAGCUUGCGGAUAGAAUAUAUUAUUUUCUUGAGAGCCAUUACAUUUAUAAAUACCUUUGUACACUCUGGCGCCAUGCUAGGGAUGACAACCUAGUAUCUAAGUGGUGUUGCCGGGGAUAUUAUACGAGUCUCAGGAAUAAGUCAUAAAAGGGAACAAAAGGGUAAUAUUAAGGAAGCCAGAAAAUCAAUCAAGGUUAUUCAUAUAAAAUAUUAGACUAGACUUUAGAGAAAUAAUUGCAUAAAAACAGCUACUAAGUGAGAAAUCAUAACAAGGCACCGCUGCUUUGGCAGGUUCACCCUGUUGUUUUUCUAUGUUUAUAUUUUUAUACAGGGUAUAACAGGAUUGACUUUGGGUACAUUCAACUCUUCAUCAUCAGAACCAAAGCAAUCAAGAGAAGAAGAAGCUAGCUACCAAUUGCUGAAGCUAUGGCACAAAAGACCUUGCAAGAAUUCUCUGCUCCAAGCCUUGAGAACAUUCUAAUUGGUCCAAGAUUUGCAGUAGAAGAAGGAAUACCUGAGUUUGAGCUCAAGUCAAGCCUCAUCAAUUUGGUACAAGCUACACAAUUCAGUGGAAAGGCACAUGAAGAUGCCAGUGCACACUUGCAGAAUUUCUUAGAGAUUGGAAGCACAAUCCACAUCAAUGGAGUUGACAAAGACGUCAUACUGCUUCGCCUUUUUCCAUUCUCACUAGAAGGAAAAGCGAGGAAGUGGUUCUACACUCAUCAAGAUAACAUCAACAACUGGACGAACUUGUCAGAUGCCUUUCUAUCAAAGUUUUUCCCCAUAGGCAAAACAACUGCCUUAAGAGGAAAUAUUGUCAGUUUCCAACAGCAGAAGACAGAAGCCAUUUCAGAAGCAUGGGAGCGUUUUCAAGGAUACAUAUCAGAUUGUCCUCACCAUGGAAUGGCCAAGUGGUUACUUAUGCAGACCUUCUACCAUGGAUUAACCCAGAAGGCUCGUGAGUGCCUAGAUGCAUCUGCUAAAGGAUCAUUCUUGGAGCUUACAACUGGAAAAGCAGAGAUACUUUUGGAUAAGAUAGCAGAAAACCAAAGCUGGUUCCAAGAUAAAGCUCAACAAUGUCAUCAAACUGAAGAAAUACCAGAAGAAGUAAAUGCGUUAUCAAGUAAGAUGGAAAAUUUGCUCCAUUGGAUUAACCAGAGGGCCAAGUUCAAAGAAGAUCAAAGGGCCAUUGAGACAGCAUACAAAUAUCAACCAACUUCAAGUCAACCCAAUAGCAAAGGUAUGAAUUCAGGUAAUACUUUCAAGCAACUUUCAUUAAAAGAGAUAAUUGCUCAACAAACCAAAAUUAAUGAUGAAGUUAAACAAAGGCUAGAUACAAAUGAAUCAUCUCUAAAAGAUAUACACAAUAAAAUGGAUUUUCUACUAACUGCCUUUGAUGAGCAAAACACUCUUAAUAAAAGGGUAGAGCUUAAAUUAAUAAAAUUAGCUGCUGCACUGCCUGUUGCUACUAACCUUGAGCAGGUAAAGAAUAUAACUACUAGAGGAGGCAAAGCUACUAGAGAUCCACCAUACCCAAAAGAGAAACAAAGAACAUUAGCACCAGUGCAACCAGCAGUGAUAGAAGAAGAAAGCCCAGUUGGAGCAGAAGAUCUGCCACAACCACCAAGAACUGGAGAAAUGAGAAAAGAUUUUUACGACACCAACUAUUUGCCAUUUCCCAGAAGAAACAGAGGACUGCAGUCGGAUGAGCAGUUUGGUAAGUUUAUAGAGGUCAUUCAGAAAUUAUAUGUCAACAUACCUCUGCUCGAUGCCAUACAGGUACCUACAUAUGCAAAGUACAUCAGAGAUAUUCUUAAUAAGAAGAGACCACUGCCCACCACUGAGGUUAUCAAGCUGACAGAAGAAUGUAGUGCGGCCAUCCUCAAUAAGCCACCAAAGAAGAAGGAAGAUCCCGGAUGUCCCACUAUUGAUUGCUCGAUCGGAAACCAACACUUCAACAAUGCACUUUGUGAUCUCGGAGCAAGUGUCAGUGUGAUGCCAGCAUCAGUCUACAAAAAGCUUGAUCAUGCAACUUUAGAACCAACAUCAAUGUGCCUACAACUAGCGGAUCAAUCGGUUCGACACCCGUUGGGCUUCGCCGAGAACAUUCCAGUCAAGAUCAGAGAUUUCCUUGUGCCAGUAGACUUCGUAGUACUGGACAUGAGUCCUGACUCAAAAGUGUCCAUCAUCCUUCGAAGACCAUUUCUGAGCACUGCCAAUGCCCACAUUGAUGUCGGAAAAGGAGAAAUCAAGUUCAACAUAAACGGUCAAGAAGAACACUUCACAUUCAAACCCAGACCAGAGAGAGACUCUACAGUGAAGGAAGUUCAUGAAGAACCACUGGAGACACCAUCUCCGGAGGAAGGUAAUUCAGAAGAUUAAAAGAUUUGGAGGUCCAGCUUGGGGGACCUAAAAAUCCCAAACCCUCACCGGGAGGUAAAUCGGUAUUUAUCCGCAUUAUUAAUUUUCUCAUAUUUAAACUCUUGCAUAAUUAAUUCUGGCAUUAGUCAUAUAUAUUCAUAGCAUAAUUAUAAUAAUCAAAAAGCCCCAUAUAAAUAAUAUUUGUGGUGUGUAACAACCCAUAUUUAUUAAUUAUUGUGGAGGCACAAAAAUAUUUUCCAUUAUCAUUUUAAUUAAGUUUCAAUUCUCAUAGAUUUUCCUGCAUUAUAUUAUAUUUAUCUUCUAGAAGCAUGACCCACACUCUUUGGGUCCCACAUGUCAUACACUUCACCUCACAUCCAUCCCAUCACAUAAUUUCAUCCACCAAUGUGUUUCCACUCACCUGACAUUUUUCCACCGUCCAACCACUACCAACACAAUAUUAUUCUGCGUGAGAUCAAAGCAAGGAAGCAUGUGGAGGAGGCACACCCAGGAUGGACACCAGGGGUGGGCGCCCGCCCACCUACCUUGGGCGCCUGCCCUGUCCCCUGCUCAGCUUAUAAAAGGCCACCUCCAGCUCCCCUUCUCUUCACACACACUUCAGAAAACCACACAAAUCUCAGUUUCCCGAGAAGGAGCUUUUGUAGUGAAGAGAAGAGAGUAGAGGGAAGAGGAGAGUGGAAGGGAAGGUUGGAGUUCUUUUGAGAGAGUGUUUGUCACCUAGCAAGUAGUGAUCCCGCUGUCCAAGCGGAAGUAAAAGUUCUUUAGGGGAGGCUCUACCAAAAUAGAAACUUGAACGAUUAACCCCUGGACUACUGACACUCUGGACAGCUGACCACUAACAUUUUAUCUCACAUUUUCCACCAGUUGUGUUUUUCCCAACUUUUGUUUGCAGGAUGUUUAAGAAGGUGAAGAAUGCAGGGAAGGCUCUCAAGAACAUUGGUACAAGGAGUUCAACACGACACUCCUCACAGCCAUCAGAGAUGAGCAUCGACCCGACACCCACACAAGCUCCGUCAUCUUCAUCAGGCCAGCAAGUCAAGGUCCUUCUCAAGAUAGGAGACCUUGGACUGAAGACCCGAAGAGAGAAGGAAGUUUAUCAGCAAUUGAAGAACAAGGAUUUCAUUCACACCCCUACUAUCGAUCCAAUCCUACUACGAGAAACAGGUAUGGACACUGAAUUUGACUUAAUUUUUCAGAUGAUGGGUUGGACAAAUUUUUGGAAUACAACUGAGCUGUGUUCUCGUCUUCUCACCCUCGAAUUUCUUUGCACUUUACAAUACUAUGAGGGGGGAAUUGUUUUUCGGAUGUUUAAACAGGAAAUUAUGUUAUCUUGGAUAGAGCUGAGCGACCAUCUUGGUUUCUCUUCAAGAUGCAUCCUAAACAUUGACUCUGAUUUACCCAAUUUUGAGAGACACCAGUUUUGGAGAGAAAUAUCUAGAGAUAAUUUUUAUAGUCAAGCCCGAACCAGUGACAUGGAACACCCCACUCUUAGGAUGUUUCACAAAUGGCUUGGGUACAAUCUUUUCUAUCGUGACGAUAUUAGGAAAGUAAGAGUAGGAGAUUUACAACUUUUAUAUGCUGCUAUUAGUAAAGUACCUACUUCACCUGUUACAUUAUUAGUUUCACAUUGGCUUAGUAUACCUAGUCUUCAGGGACCAGUAGGAUGUACUUCACUUAUCACUCGUCUAGCCACUAAUCUUCACUUACUAGAAAACUCAUCGUUGGAGUUCAUAGAAGAAUUAAGAAUUUAUCAUGGCUAUGACACAUUUAGACAAGCUCGGAUGUUAAAGAAAGAGGGGAAUAUAAUGUAUAUGCUGUAUGAUGAUAAAGGCAAGAUUCGGUUACCUAACCCGAACCUUGGCCUCUACUCUGUGCAAAACUUUUUGAUUGAGAUUGCAGCAACACCAGUGAACCAGAGAACUCCACAGCGAGUGGCAUCUGAAAGGAUAACCACUCACCGAGACCGCACUUGGUAUGGAGCUGACCCUGGACCAGAAGAAGCAGCGCACCUGCAUUAUUGCGAUUACAAUCCACGAGUCCUUCGAGACCCAAGGGCUCGUCAUGCACAACCACAAGAGCCAACAGAAGAGACAUGGCCGGAGAGCCAAGAUCACCAGUGGACAAACCCGCCUUUUCAUACGGGCAGGUACUCCACUGAUCCAUAUGGAGCUUCAGGAUCCAGACCUCCACCCCAAUUUGAUGCAGGACGAUACUCCGACGCCUCCUACGCCUUCACGAAUGACUACUAUCAAGAGGUCGGUGCUUUCUUCACUCGUACCGACAACACCCUCCUCGACAUCCAGAACACGCAAGCAGAACAUGGAAGACUCCUAGAAGGGCAACAAAAAUGGAACCAGGACCAUGCCGCUUCGGUACAAGAGCUGAGACAAGAUACAACAACAAUGAACGAUAACAUCACAACCAUGAUGCGGUUCCGGAACAUCGGGUAAGACCCACGUCAACAUCCAGCUUGGGGGAGUUCCUCCCUAAUUUAUCAAGUAAGUUUUUAUUUGCUCUUCUUAUUUAUUCUAUUCUGUCUUAGUAUUUUAUUUAUCUUAAAAGGAAAACUUAGAAAACCAAAUAAAUAUUUUCUUACUUUAAUUUACUGCACUUUAUAAACAUGAAAACAAAAUAAAAAGAGUGUGUAGAUAAGUGUGCUUUAUUUUCUUGCUAAGUUUAAUCUCUAAAAAAAGACCAAAAAGAUGCAUGAUGGAAAUGAUGAACAGUUGCUCUGUUUGCUUACUUACAAGUACCUAGCUUUUACAUUAGAGUUCUUCCAGGAAUUACUAAAACUGAAUUUACUAUCUUUGGGAAGCAUAAAACUAAAGUCUAGGUAAGAGAAAGGCAUGAUAUAAAGUUGAGCUACUGUUUAUCUUGUUCCUACUACACCAAGUUCUAGAGAUUUAUUUUUGAAAACUUACAAAUCACAUGAUGAGUUCCUAGUAUACAAAACUACCUACCACAGCCAUACUUGCUAUAACAUAUUUUGCUAUAUUUACAUUGAGUUUGAUCGAGCUGUGUAGACCCUUAGGAGCUUUUCAUGUGGUUAAAUUAAGAUAUUCACUUGCACACAUCUACCACAGCAUUCAUCAUCAAUCAUUAAAAUUGCUAAAAAUAUUAUCACUCACUGUUCCGAAUAUUGUUAUUCUCUCUCUCUAAAAAGAUUCAAUGCAGAAGAGGCAUGGGUUAUGCAAAAAUAUACGAGGAAAUAAAAAGGGGCAAGUGCCCGGAACCUCGAAAAAGAAAGAAAAGAAAGUGAGACGAGAGGUAAAAAUGGACAAGUGUCCGAAGUAGAAUUAGGGGUACAAAGAUGCCCACUUGAGCGGAAAAAAUGGACAAGUGUCCGACAGUAGAAUUAGGGGUAUCUACUACCCACCUGAAAAGAGAAAAAAAAGAUAGCCCAUGUUCUCCCAAAGCAAAGAUCAAAGAAGAGGAGAGAUAGCAAUAUGAGGAGCAAUGAGAACUAAAUUUUAUUAUCACUUAUGCAUUUUCACCAUCACUAUCAUUUACUCCAUCACACAUGCACGUCUUGAUUUAAUUAUAUGCUGAGUUCCUUUGGAUCCAUGGCUCGAUUAGACAACAUAUGUAUGAGCUGUUUUCCACUCCUAUGAGCUCCACUUAAAUAUUCCAUUAGCUAUAGGUAAGUGACAUUAUGGUAAGGAUCCACAAAUACCACAUAUAGAGAGACUUGAGGGAAUCAUUGCUGGGAACUCUGAGUUUUAUUUUGAAAACUUAUGAAAAACUCUAGAACAAAGGUGAAGUAUAGAUAGGAGGGAUAGUGCUUGACUUAACUAUUUUGUCUUUUGAUUACUUAAGAUUUAAGUGCAGGUACUAAACUCCAUAACACUUCACUUUAAUCUGGAAGAAUUUUUAUGUAGAAGCAUGUGUGCUUGUCAGGAAAGAAAACAUCGAAGCAACUCCUGAUCCGUCUAAGUUUAGCUAUUUGCUCAGGGACGAGCAAAGGGUAAGCUUGGGGGAGUUUGUUGACGGUCCUAAAGUACUAAAAUUAAUAAUCGAAUAAACAUGAAAAAGGAUCAAUAUAAAACAAACAUCUAGAAUUAGGGUUUUAUCUGACAGAAUUCCACGAGCUUUGGUGUUUAUCUAUUUCUGCAGGGGUUUAUCAGAAAAUAUGGAGAGAAGGCCCACAUGUCAUGUUUACAACGAGAUAAUUACGUGCCGCGCAAUUUUCCUCGAUCUAGAAGGAUCCAGAAGCCACGGGAACGAACGGGACGUGAUUCGGGCUCGGGUGCUGGGCGCCCGCCCACCCCCCUUGGGCGCCCGCCCAGGGUUGGAGGCCAAACAGGACUCUGCUUCGGGACAACGCUCCACCGACCUAAAUGAUCAAUCUAAACCAUACAAUCUAUGUCAGUUUGAUCCAAUGGCUCACGUUCACUUGAGGGGACUAUAAAACCAGACCCCCUGGCCCCUGGAGGAGAGAGGAGAAAUCAUUAUUCAAAGGUAGCCAUCAAAGUUAGGGUUUAGAUCUCUCUCCCACAGAGAAUUAGAAUUAGCUACUCCCUAAUCCUUCAAGCUUAGAGGUUUGAUUAGAUAGCAAUUAGAGAAGUAGAGCACUACGCUCUGGAUUCGGAUCUUCGGUAAUAAAGAUUGGUAUUAUUCAUAUCUUUCUCUAAUUCUAUUGUUCUAAUUGCAUUAUGUUUCUAAUUAUUAUGUUCUUAGUUUGCAUAUAGUUCUAAUUGAUAAUGAGUUUAUGUAUAAGUUUGCAAAGCGCUUAGCUCUUGACGCGAGGGAGUUAGGUGAUAGAUCACAUGUGAGCGUGGUGCUUAGAUGUUAUUUAUCUGCAAAUGUAUCCUAUUGGCCGAGUCGUGUGGUAGUUCGCGAUAGUGACAGCUUCGUUGAUUCUUAUAUAGUCCACCCUCCGUUGAUAGGACAGGCAGAACCGGUAUUGUGGAGUAAGUCAUGCGAUGCUCUGAUUUACUUUAUCAAUGUUCCUUAUACAUGAAUGAAGAGUCUUUUAUGCUAUAUAUGAUCUUGUAGAUAACUAGAGUAGAUUAUGACUUAAUAGUUAGUAGAUAACUUAGAAUCCAUUCUCUAGCUAAUCCGACAUCACCUACAUAUAUGAGGAGUAGUCUAUUUUCUAAUCGCUGUGCUCUUUAUCCCUUGAACUUAUACUUUAUUAUCAUUAUCUUUAUGGUUUACCCCCUGCUAAAGUAAGUGACUGUGUGACGAGUUUCUCAUUAGUAAUCAUGUUCUUGCAAGUUUAUCUCUAGUCUAUGCCUUGAUAGAUUUUGCCCAUUGAUUUAAUUCCAUCUUCUUGAGAUCCCCUAAGCAAAAUUAUAAAUAACGAUACCUGGAAUACUUAUCCUGGUGAAAUGCUACAAUGAGGUGUUUUAUCUGUGCGCUUGCGGAUAGAAUAGAUUAUUUUCUAGAGAGCCUUUACAUUUAUAAAUACCUUUGUACACUCUGGCGCCAUGCUAUGGAUGACAACCUAGUAUCUAAGUGGUGUUAGCUAGUGUCAACAAUGUCGAUGGUUAUUGGGCCGAUAAGAUUGCUGAGGUGAUGAGAGACCAAUUUGGGAUAAAACCCAAAGUCAACACUUACUCUUAUCGGACACCAUAUGCUCCUGCUUAUGAUUUGAUCCCACAUCCAAAUCGGUACAAAGUGCCAGAUUUUACUAAGUUUUUAGGGCAGGAUGAUACAUCAACCAUGGAGCAUGUCAACAGGUUCAUCAUCCAAUGUGGAGAAGCUGCUAACAGGGACGAGUUAAGGGUUCGCCUGUUCUCGUCAUCAUUAUCUGGAUCGGCUUUCACCUGGUUCAUAUCAUUACCUCCCAACUCAGUGGUUACUUGGGCCGAUCUAGAAAAACAAUUCCAUAAGUACUUCUUUUCUGGGGUCCAUGAGAAGAAGAUCACCGAUUUGGUCAAAUUGAAGCAGCGCAAUGAUGAAUCGGUUGAAAGUUUUGUGCAAAGGAUACGGGAAGUCAAGAACAAAUGCUAUAGCCUGGUUCUGGAUGAUCGGUAGCUAGCCGAUUUGGCUUUCCAGGGUUUGUUGCCAUACAUCAGGGACAAAUAUGCAUCUUAGGAGUUCGAAAGUUUAAGUCAUUUGGUGCAGAGAAUUUCUGAUCAAGAUAUCAAGCCUUUUGAGCCCAAGAGAGCAUGGAAUAAGAAGGUAUCGUUUGUGGAUGAAGCGGCAAGCUCGGAUUCUGAUGAAGAACCAGUCAUCGGCUUAGCAGAAUGGGUGAAGAAUAAGAAGCCGAUGUCUUGCCCUUUUGGGCAUAAAGAGCCUGAGAAGUUUGCAUUCGACAUCACCAAAGCCGAUAGGAUAUUUGACUUUCUACUUCAGGAAGGUCAGAUCAAGUUGUCACCCAAUCAUGUGAUCCCAUCGGCUGAAGAAUUGAAGAAGAUGAAGUACUGUAAAUGGCACAAUGCAACUUCUCACAGCACCAAUGAGUGCAAAGUUUUUAGGCAACAGCUGCAAUCAGCUAUAGAAUCCAGGAGGAUCAAAUUUGAUAGCUCCAAAGCUCAGAAGCCGAUGAAGAUUGAUCAACAUCCUUUCCCAACAAACAUGCUAGAUGCUAAAGGAAAGGCCAAGGUCUUGACAUCAGAAUCAGCGGAGAGAAGUGCAUCGGUGGAUCCUCAGCAUCAGAUCACUACUGCCGAUGCGAUAGGAAAAGGCCUGAUCCAGGAGGGGACUAACUCAGGAAGGCCUCCCCGAUCUAGUAUUGUGAUAACUCAUAGAAGACCUCGGGAAACUUGGCAGCAACGUGAGGAUCGGUAUCGGCAGCAGCAAGAGGACCAUCGUCGGGAAAAGGAAAGACGCCGACAGGAGUGGAAUCGGCAUAGGGAUCACUGGAAUUGCCCGUUCUUCAUUCACUGUUGGGAGGAAAAUAUCAAGCUUCCUACUGUCAGAGAUUGUCCUGAGUGCAAUGGUUCUGAUCAGUAUGACAGAUCUGAUCGGCGCUAUCACGAUGACGGUCGGCGAUUUGAUGGGCCGAUUAGGGGGAGAGCGUCUGUCCACGAUCGGCUGGGGGGCAGGCUCUGUGUGCACGACAGGCUCGGCGGUCAUGUUGGAUAUUUCCCCAGGAACCAGGAAGAACUUGAAGAGAUGGCUAAUGCUCGGGCUCCCAAUGAGUUCAUAUUUUGUAGGGAUGCCAAUACUUAUCAGAUGGAGUUAAGGGAAAAUCAUCGCCCAUCGGUAAGGCAGCAGCAACUUCCUCCAUGGUGUCCAGAGGGGUUGACCAGGACACAGAAGAGAAGACUGCAGCGCAAGAGACGAGAAGAGCUAAGCAAGGGUGAGAACUCUGGCUAGUCUGGGGAUCAGCGACAAUCAGAUCCUAAGGGGAGAGGUCCAUCAGCAGAUGUCAACAUGGUGUUUAUGUUGCCGAUGGAGUUCCUUGCACCAUCCAAUGAUGAUGAGUUGGAGUUCUCCGACCAAAUAGCUCAGUUGCCUCUAGAUCCGAUGACCGCCAUCUUCGAAAAGCCUGCCGACGAUGAGAGGCAACAUCUUAAAGCUCUAUUUGUCAAAGGGAGAGUGGAUGGUCAGCCAAUGACCAAAAUUCUAGUUGAUGGUGGAGCGGCUAUCAAUAUCAUGUCGUCUGCGGUAUAUCAGAAACUUGGAAAAGGAGAUCAAGAUUUGACCAAGACCGAUAUGAUGCUGAAGGACUUUGAGGGCAAUGUGUCUCCGGUUAAGGGAGCCAUCUGUGUGGAAUUGAUCAUCGGCAGCAAAACCUUGCCGACAACCUUCUUCGUAAUCAGUGGAAAAGGUGCUUAUAACUUGCUGUUAGGGAGGGAUUGGAUUCAUGCCAAUUGUUGCAUCCCGUCUACAAUGCACCAAUGCUUGGUUCAGUGGGUAGGUGACAAGAUUGAGAUUGUCCCGGGAGAUUCUUCUUAUGUCAUUGCAUCGGCAGAGGCAGACACCUAUGAAAGGACUAGGUGUAUUUCAGGAGAAGUUUGGGAAAAGGAUUUUCUCAAGGUUGCCGAUUAUGAGAUUCCACCGAUCCAAGCAGUCGGUUCUGACGAAGAUUUUUAAUGGAUAGGUUCGCCGAUGAUGGAAAAUUAGGCCAGGGAUUCACAUCGGCCGAUGAUCUAGUAGAAGUAGAUAUAGGUAGUGGUGAUAAACCUAGGCCUACUUUCAUUAGUGCUAAGUUAAAUUCUGAGUGUAAGCGAUAGUUAACUGAUUUGUUAAAGGAAUAUAAAGAUUGCUUUGCUUGGGAUUAUACUGAGAUGCCUGGUUUGGACCGAUCGAUUGUUGAACAUCGGUUGCCUAUCAAGUCUGGAUUUAGGCCACAUCAGCAGCCAGCUCGCCGAUGUAAUCCUAAUAUUCUUCCUGAUAUCAAGGCCGAAAUAACCAAACGGAUUGAAGCUAAAUUUAUUGGGCAGUGUCGGUAUGCCGAGUGGAUUUCCAAUGUGGUUCCAGUCUACAAGAAAAAUGGAAAGCUUCGGGUAUGCAUUGAUUUCAGAAAUCUUAACAAGGCUACACCGAUGGAUGGCUACCCGAUGCCAAUUGCCGAUCUGCUAGUUGAUGCUGCGGCUGGGCAUCGAAUUAUCAGUUUUAUGGAUGGCAAUGCAGGGUACAAUCAAAUAUUCAUGGCUGAAGAGGAUAUUCCAAAGACUGCAUUUAGAUGUUCUGGUCAUGUUGGGUUGUUUGAAUGGAUAGUCAUGACCUUUGGUUUGAAAAAUGCUGGUGCUGCUUAUCAGAGGGCAUGAAUUUCAUAUUUCAUGAGUUCAUCGGUAAGCUGGUGGAGAUUUAUAUUGAUGACGUAGUGGUUAAAUCUAGAGAUUUCACAAAGCAUCUUGCCGAUUUGCGAAAGGUGUUGGAAUGUACAAGGAAGCAUGGGUUGAAGAUGAAUCCCAAUAAGUGUGCAUUUGGUGUAUCGGCAGGACAAUUUUUUGGUUUCAUGGUACAUCAGAUGGGGAUUGAAAUUAGUCGAAGAUCCAUUGAUGCCAUCAACAAAAUAGUUGCUCCCACCAACAAGACUGAGCUCCAGUCCUUGAUUGGCAAGGUAAAUUUUAUCAGGAGAUUUAUAUCUAACUUGUCUAGUAAAAUUCGUGCUUUUAGUCCUUUGCUCAAGUUGAAGGCCGAUCAAGAAUUUGUUUGGGGGAAGGAACAACAAUUGGCUUUAGAUGAAAUCAAGAAUUAUCUGGUAAAUCCUCCGGUACUGAUUCCACCUCAGCAAGGGAAGCCCUUCAGAUUGUAUUUGUCUACCGAUGGGAUGGUCAUCGGUUCGGUGUUAAUUCAAGAAUUUGAAGGGAAGGAACGUGUGAUUUACUAUUUAUGUAGGAGGUUGAUUGAUGCUGAGACCAGGUAUUUGGCUAUUGAGAAACUGUGCUUAUGCUUGUACUUCUCCUGUAUUAAGUUAAGGCAUUAUUGGCUAUCGGCCGAAUGCACGAUUAUUUGCAAAGACGAUGUGGUCCGAUACAUGCUGUCUAUUGUUGACGGUCCUUAAAGCUCACAUUUAACCGUGAACUAAUCAUAGAAAAGGAUCCAAAUGCAACCAACACCUAGACUUAGGGUUUUAUCUGACAGAAUUCCAUGAGUUUUGGUGUUUGUCUAUUUCUGUAGGGGGUUAUCAGGAAAUACGGAAGAAAGGCCCACACAUCGGGUUUACAUAGAGAUAUUAACGUGCCGCGCAAUUUUCUAUCAUCUAGAAGACUCCAGAAGCCACGGGAAGGAAGCAGAGGCCGAGAGGGCUCAGGGACAGGGCGCCCGCCCAAGUCCUGAGGGUGCCCGCCCUGGAGUUCUGCUCAAUCACGUCCAAACUCGCGGAUCGUGCUCCACCGACCUAAGAGAUCAAGGAUAACCGUUCAAUCAAUGUCAGUUUGAUCCAACGGCCCAUAUUCACUUAAAGGGACUAUAAAACCAGACCCCCUGGCCCUUGGAGAUCAUACCUCUUCUACAGAAUCAAAGUUAGGGUUUCAAUUCUUCAUCCAAGUAGAGAGGAUCCCUCUAGUUCUUCUAGUUCUACCUCUAGUUCAUCUAGUUCUAGUUCUAGUUCAUCUAGUUCUAGUUCUAGUUCCUCUAGUUCUAGUUCUAGUUAGUUCUAGUUGUAAUCUAGAAAAUAGGGAGAGAGAAGAGGAGAGCGGAGGAGGAGCCGGAUCUGUCGGAUCUUCCUCAACAUUAUACUUUUGCAGCAUCUGGUUCGUUCUUCAUCGUUCUCUAGGUUCUUCAAUUCAUAAUUCCUGAGUUCUUUAAUUACUUUUAUUUACAUUCAAGUUAUUUAUUGGAUUCCCGCUUGCAUCAAGUGUUCUAGUCUUUAUAACGCUAUAGUAGUAAUUAAUAGAUUAGACGUGGUGUUUAGUCUUGCAAUUACCUGGAAUUGCACCCAAUCCUGCGGAUUGUUGUGGUAGACUUAGGGUAGUGACAGCCCUAACGGUCGACGUAUUCCACCUCGUUCGGAUUGGUGUUUGUAGGACCGUAGUCAGACCUUCCUAGCCCCCUUCUCAUCUCUUUCUGUGGUUAGUGCUCUGAUGUCCCGAUAUAGAUAAUCUUGAAGUAAUACUUGAUUCUUAGAUCAAUUAGAGAACUCUCACGAAACUUCCUCUCUUCCCACCAAAAAUAAUUAUAUAGUUAUCCUUGGGCGAUCUUGGAUCUUAAUUAGGACACUCACGUUCUCUGUGGAAAAUCGAUACUCUGGAAUACUCCCGGGUGAAAGCUACAUUGGUAUCCGUGCGCUUGCGGAUUUUUCUGUUUGCGUUUAAAAUACCCAACAAGCUUUCUGGCGCCGUUGCCGGGGAACGGUAGCUGUGCUAGUUUCGAACCAAGUCGUCCAUGUAUCCUUUUUAUUUUCCUUUUUUACCACACUCACCUUACCAUUUUCACCACACCACAUGGAUUUCACUCUAAGCAUUAAUGAGCCUGGAAUUUAUUUCAUAGCCACUUUAUUUACUCUAUGCUCAUAUGCAACAUCUUCCCAAUCUUUUGGUCUCUCCAACAUCACCACAUUCGAGAUCUCCAACCCCCUCAUCCUUUCUAUUUAUAAAAACUUUAAAAGGGCGGUUGUCGAUGCAUAUGUCUAUAUUAAAUAUUACAGAUCUCGUUGAGUUGAUCUUGAUAUAGGUCAGUGUUGGAGGGGAAACCACUUCGCCGACAUAAAUUGAUGGUUUCCCAUGGACAAGCUUAGUGUCCUAAAAUAAGCAUUGAUCAGAUCGUAACAUGAGCUUUUAAUUAUUUGCAACAUUACCUUGUGUAUUGAGCAUAUAAGGAUAAUUGUAAAAAAAUUCCUUCGGGUAUUCUUGUUACUAACCUUUCCAGGAUUGGAGCAACAAGAUCGGAUGAAUGACAAGUACAAGGUAUGUCCAACCAAUCAUUAUACAACAUUGAAUUGAAUUCAUCCAAACUUGAAUUUUCCAAAAUUCAAGCUUGGGGGAGUACUUUACAUAAAAACAUCCUUUGCCAUGUUGCUAUGUUGGUUGUCCCUACCUUUGAGACAUGCUCAAUUUGUCAAAUACUAAUCACACUGCUUCAUCUCCACUUAAGUAGAUCUAUAUAAAUGCUCUCAUGCUACCUUUAGUUGCUUUAGUAUAUGUCUAGGUUUGGAGUAGUUUCAUUUAUCUCUUAAUUAAGCAUGGUGCUUAGUUUAGGAAUGAUGAUCUUAUUUCCAAGGGAUUUUGGAUUAAGCAUUAUGCUUAGGUUAAAAUGCCCUCCUGGAUCAAAUUAGACAUGGUGUCUAGGUUGAUUUUUGAGCCGAUAGUAUGCUAUAGUAGAUAUGGGAUAUUUUGUUGGACUAACCCCUACAGGAAAACUUUCAAUAUCGACCUGGAAAGUCCUGAGAUAAACUCACAUUGGAGACAAAGAGAGAGACACAUGAAGUUUAACAAUUUACACAAGGAAGGCAUAGCUCAUAAGAGAUGAUCCAUGGAGGGUGCUACAAAUACGAUGCACAACCGCUAAGAAAGGAAAGUUUCCACAAGGUCAUACUGUACCAUCACUCUUCAAGUAAGGUAACAUCUUAAGGUACUUGUCUAUCAUUGUUAUAAGCUUCUCCUUAGUUAUGGCGUUCACAUGAAUAAAAGAGACAAACAUGUAUGAUUUACAACUCUAGAUUAACCAACCCAGUCGAUUCAAUAUGUUUAGUCCUUCCACCUUUGUGAUCUCACACUCCUAAUCAUAUGAACUAAAAUGUUGCACACGCAAUCUUUGGAAGAUAUAUAUAUAAAAAAACAUAAGUAUAGAUAGAUUAUCUUUCCAUUAGGUUGAGCGAUCUGAUCUGACAAAUGUUUUAAAUGCUACACUCAUGAUCUUAUUAUCCAUCAACUUUGUCUUGUUCACUAUGCUUAAGGUUAGAGAGAACAAAUACACUUUUGGUUCUGUUGGUGUUUUCCACCAACAGGGCCCAUGCACUUGAUCUCUGUCUUAUCUCUAUGAACAGGUACACUUCAAGCAAAACAUGGAAGAGUUUUACAACUCCCAGACUCCACCAAGUGAAGAACAUGGAUCUACGAGCACAAACACACUGGAGAUACUAGACACUCAGGCAAUCACUGCCUUGAGAUGCUUGAGGACGUAACUACUGGAGUAACCCCAUUGUGGAAGUAAUUACUGACCUUCUGCCGGUCAAGAGAGACAAUCCAGGACGCCCCAUCAUCCCGAUCUCCAUCGGCAUGAUGGACUUCCCAGAAGCACUCUGCGACUUUGGCUCCAGCAUCAACAUUAUGCCCAGGGUACUCUAUGAAAAAUUCUUUACACAUCCUUUACGAGAAACAACCAUGUAUUUGUAGCUUGUAGAUCGGACACUAAGUUUCCCAAAGGGAGUAUUGAAGAACCUCUACGUCCGAGUUGGUACCUUAUACGCUCCAGCAGACUCUGUGGUGAUAGAGACUGGUACUAAUGAGAGGGCACCCAUCAUCCUAGGGAGGCCAUUCCUGAACACCUCGGGAGCUAUCAUCUAUGCUAGUGCUGCCAAGAUCAGUUUCUACAUCAAGGGGAGGAAGGAGACGUUUUCCUUCAAGAACAAGACUACACAAAUCUCAGAGCAUUCACGACAUGAACCAAGGAAGAGGACCAACAGGAGGAACAGGAACAAGCAAGUGUGGACUGAGUCAGCUAAGAUGGUCACUGCAGUUCAAGGAGGACAAUAUCAUCUAUUUAAGUCACUGUUCCUGACCAAAAAGGACAACCCAGGCAUGCCAAGCAUCCAGUGCUCCAUUAAUGGAUACAACUUCCAGAAGAUGCUUUGCGACACCGUGUCAGGCGUCAACAUAAUGGCCGCAGUCACCUAUCAACUCCUAUUCGGAACCAUGCCACUAAAACCGACAUACAUUUAGCUCCAGAUGAUUUUAAGGUUAUUGACAUGGGAGAAGACGAGAACAAUCCACCCAUCACCCUUGGAAGACCGUUCUUUAGCACCGUUAAUGCAAUCAUCUACAUUGGAACCGGAGAAGUCCACAUGUACUUCCCCUCUGAGAAGGUACGCCACUAUUUUACUGACCCUAACUAUAUAGUUGAAGACGCUAAGCAGGUCAGGACAAGAAGAAGACGACGCAACCGCAACCAGAGGAGGCAAAUCAUCAAGGACGGAUGGGCAGACUACGAAGGAGAAGUGGUAGGGUCUUAAGACAUACAGCUUGAACAUAACUGUCCUGAGGAGACCGUAGCAUCGAGUCAGAGAGAGAAGAUAGUUAUACAUGAAGAGGAGGCGCUCCCGGAACCACCGACUACGCCAUCCAGUGAAUCCCAGGACGACUGAGGAAACGGAGAGUCCCGUUCGGAGGACUUAAAAACAUCAAAUGCCUUGCCAAGAGGUAAACUUGGUAGUUAUCCUUCUCCCUUCAAUUAUUUAAAAUAGUUUGCUUAGUUAAUCAGGUUCAUAUCAUCAUGAAAAGAAAAUAAAAAUGUUAAAAAUAGUAAGCCCCGUGUGAGUAUGCUCAUGGCAUAAAACCCAUAAUUACAUUCACUGUGGUGGCAUAAAAAUGAAAUAAAUAUAUUCCUAUCCUAUAAAAAUAAAAUUAUAAAAAUAAAUUUAUGAUCCUACUAAAGAAGUAACAUUUAUUGAGGAGGCUCAACAUGAUAAAGGCUAGAUAUUUAUGCUAACACUUAACUAGUUCCACAAAGCUUUGUUGUCUAUUUGAGCUCCACAGAAUUCAAGGAUCAAAGAAGACUAGCAGACGGAGGACAUCCUAAUCACUGUCAGGGUCUGGCUGACAUUCAAAUACACCUCCACCACCUACUAGCUACAUCAGAAGAAAUUACGUCAAAAUCCAGCUUGGGGGAGAUUACCCCCAUUUAUCCAGCUAAGUGUUCUACUCACGUUUAUAUUUUACUCAAAUAAUAAAAAGAUGCAUAAUCAUAAAAACCCAAAUAAAGAUUUUGUGCUUAUAUAUAUCUUUGCUUAGUUUGCUAAUUAAAUAAAUAAAUAAAGUUUGCUAUGAACCCUCAUGAUAAGCUCUCACAUGGAAAUGAUGAAUAAUUGCUCUGCCAUGGCUAGUUCUCAAAAUUAAAAUAUCUCUCAAGUUUAGGCAUGACUGGUAUUAAUUAAGAUUUGAUCUAAACCUGAACUUGUGGGGAGAGUACUUGAUCUAAAGUCUAAGUCGUUAACGGAUAUGAUAUGGGAAGGUUGAGCUGCUGUUUAUCUGUUCCUAGAGAUGCUAGAAUUCUGAAGAAUUUUAUCUUUGAAAAUCUUUAAAAUAACACAUGAUGAGUUCCUGUAUGAUGAGAGUUUAAAUCCCUACCACAGCCAUAUAUACAUGCUUGCUAAACUUUGAGCCACACAUUUACUUUUUACUCCUUAUGAGCAUUGAGUGUGGUCAAGCUGUGUAGACCCUUAGGAGCUUGUCAUGUGGUUAAAUCAAGAUUCACUUGCACGUUCACUCACACAUGCUGCUUCUACUGCGGAAGUAUGCAUCCACAUAUAUCCAUCCAUUUCCAUCUCUAGAACCACCCAAAAAUAUUCUACUCCUAAUCCGGGAGAGAAUAGCCAAAAACAUUCUCCUAUUCCUGUUUUUUCUUGUGAAAUAAAUGCUCAAGAUAUUUUGGUUACUACCACUUGCUACAUUAUUCUAGGAGGAUGAGUGCUCUGAAAAAAGUGAAUACGUGGAAAUAAAAAGGGGCAAGUGCCCGGAACCUCGAAGAAAAGAAAAAGUGAGACGAGAGGUAAAAAUAGACAAGUGUCCGACAGUAGAAUUAGGGGUACAAGAUACCCACCUGAGAGAAAAGAAAAAAAGAAGAAAGAAAAUAUAGAGCAUCUGAUUCCCCUCAAAAAAAACUUCAAAGUGCAAGAAAGGUAUGUAUCCCCUCAAAAGAGCAAACGUAGAAUUAGACUUUCACCAUUGUUAUCACCAUUCAUUCGCCACACAUGCACAUCUUGAUUUGACUUAUUGACUUGUUCUUCUGGAUCCAUGGUUUGACUAUGCAAUAAAUGUCUUGUAAGUAUGUAUUAGCUAUCUCCCACCUAUGAGCUCCAGAUAUCAAACGCCUUAUUAGAGUGGGGUGAGAGAGAAGGCAAUGUCACUAUGCCUCAUACCAAAAAUACCACAUACUUUGAGAGAAGGCAUAUAUUAUCACUGCCUUGGUAAGGAUCUAGAAAUACCACAAAAGAGAGACUAGAGACAGUCAUACAAGGAAUCUCUGAGUUUUAUUUGAAAAUCUGCAAAAAAACUCCAGAGCUAUAGUUAAUCGAAGAACAAGAGACAUGGCGCUUGACUAGACCAUUCUAUCUUUUAACUGCUCAAGACACAAGUGAUGGUUACAAGCCCCAUGGUGGAAGGUAAUAUGAGUAAGUUUAAAUCUUAACAGUUUACCCUAACCCAGAGAUGAGAUCUUGCUCGAACGCAUGUAUAUCUUUAAGGCAUGAAACCACUGCAGAAACUCUUGAGUUCAUCUUUGCUCAGGGACGAGCAAAGGUUAAGCUUGGGGGAGCUUGUUAACGGUCCUGAAAGCUCACAUUUAACCGUCAACUAAUCAUAGAAAAGGAUCCAAAUGUAACCAACACCUAGACUUAGGGUUUUAUCUCACAGAAUUCCACGAGUUUUGGUGUUUGUCUAUUUCUGCAGGGGGUUAUCAGGAAAUACGGAAGAAAGGCCCACACGUCGGGUUUACAUAGAGAAAUUAACGUGCCGCGCAAUUUUCUAUCAUCUAGAAGACUGCAGAAGCCACGGGAAGGAAGCGGAGGCCGAGAGGGCUCAGGGACAAGGCCCCCGCCCAAGUCCUGACGGCGCCCGCCCUGGAGUUCUGCUCAAUCACGUCCAAACUCGCAGAUCGUGCUCCACCGACCUAAGGGAUCAAGGAUAACCGUUCAAUCAAUGUCAGUUUGAUCCAACGGCCCAUAUUCACUUAAAGGGACUAUAAAACCAGACCCCCUGGCCCUUGGAGAUCAUACCUCUUCCACAGAAUCAAAGUUAGGGUUUCAAUUCUUCAUCCAAGUAGAGAGGAUCCCUCUAGUUAUUCUAGUUCUACCUCUAGUUCAUCUAGUUCUAGUUCUACUUCAUCUAGUUCUAGUUCUAGUUCCUCUAGUUCUAGUUCUAGUUAGUUCUAGUUGUAAUCUAGAAAAUAGGUAGAGAGAAGAGGAGAGCGGAGCAGGAGCCGGAUCUGUCGGAUCUUCCUUAACAUUAUACUUUUGCAGCAUCUGGUUCGUUCUUCAUCGUUCUCCAGGUUUUUCAAUUCAUAAUUCUUGAGUUCUUUAAUUACUUUUAUUUACAUUCAAGUUAUUUAUUGGAUUCCCGCUUGUAUCAAGUGUUCUAGUCUUUAUAACGCUAGAGUAGUAAUUAAUAGAUUAGACGUGGUGUUUAGUCUUGCAAUUACCUGGAAUUGCACCCAAUCCUGUGGAUUGUUGUGGUAGCCUUAGGGUAGUGACAGCCCUAACGGUCGACGUAUUCCACCUCGUUCGGAUUGGUGUGUGUAGGACCGUAGUCAGACCUUCCUAGCCCCCUUCUCAUCUCUUUCUAUGGUUAGUGCUCUGAUGUCCCGAUAUAGAUAAUCUUGAAGUAAUUCUUGAUUCUUAGAUCAAUUAGAGAACUCUCAGGAAACUUUCUCUCUUCCCACCAAAAAUAAUUAUAUAGUUAUCCUUGGGCGAUCUUGGAUCUUAAUUAGUACACUCACGUUCUCUGUGGAAAAUUGAUACUCUGGAAUACUCCCGGGUGAAAGCUACAUUGGUAUCCGUGCGCUUGCGGAUUUUUCUGUUUGCGUUUAAAAUACCCAACAUCUAUGCCGAUCAUGAGUGGCAGGAUCGGUAAGUGGAUUUUGGCGCUGUCGGAAUUCGAUCUGCGUUACGAAUCAGCUAAGGCGGUUAAGGGACAGAUUAUGGCCGAUUUUGUAACUCAACAUUGUGGUACAUUGGAGGCUUUGGAAAUUGUACCUUGGACGCUCUUCUUUGAUGGGUCCACGUGUGACCGGGGGGCAGGAAUCGACAUAGUAUUAAUUUCCCCUCGGGGAAGGAAGUAUGAGUUUUUCAUGCCAAUUGUUGCCACAUCCACAAAUAAUCAGGCUGAGUAUCAAGCUUUGAUAAAGGGUUUAGAAUUGCUGAGGGAAGUUCAUGCCGAUGCUGUUGAGGUCUUCGGGGAUUCUAUGCUAGUUAUAAACCAGUUGGUUGGAAGCUAUGAAUGCCGAAGUGAAGUCCUGAUAACUUAUCAUGAAAGGAGUAUGCAACUGUUAAAGGAAUUCAAGGAUUUCCGGUUAGGGCAUGUUCCUCGAUUGCAUAAUGAAGAGGCCAAUCGGUUGGCUCAGCAUGCCUCAGGAUAUCAGCCCGUGAUUAAUGCAAUAUCGGCAAGCGGUGCCGAUGAUUGGAGGAAAGAAAUCAUUGAUUAUUUGAAGGAUCCAUCUAAGAAAGUUAAGAGGCGUGUUCGGUUUCAAGCUACCAAGUAUGUGCUCCUUGAAGGUGAAUUAUAUUACCGAACUAUCGAUGGGAUUCUUCUCAGAUGCUUAGGUGAUGAUGAGGCUAAGGGUUUGAUGGGAGAAAUCCACAAGGGAGUAUGUGGAGCACAUCAGUUGGAUUUUAAGAUGAAGUGGAUGAUUAGAAGAAAUGGGUAUUAUUGGCCGACUAUACUCGAGGAUUGCUUUAAGUAUUUCAAAGGGUGUCAAGGCUGUCAGAAAUUUGGUAAUAUUCAAAGAGCACCCGCAUCGGCCAUGAAUCCUAUCAUCAAGCCUUGGCCGUUCCGAGGAUGGGCUAUUGAUUUGAUCGGACAGAUUUAUCCACCAUCCAGCAAGGGACAUAAAUUCAUUUUGGUUGCCACUAAUUAUUUCACUGAAUGGGUUGAAGCUAUUCCUUUGAAGAAAGUUACAUCGGCCAAUAUGAUUGAUUUUGUGAAAGAGCAUAUUAUCUACCGAUCUGGAAUUCCUCAAACAAUUACUACCGAUCAGGGUACUAUGUUCACAUCAGGGGAGUUUGAUGAAUUUGCAAUCGGUAUGGGAAUUAAAGUAUUAAAUUCUUCUCCUUACUAUGCUCAAGCUAAUGUGCAGGCCGAGGCAUCUAACAAAGGAAUUAUCAAGCUUAUUAAACGAAAGAUUGAAGAAAAUCCUAGGAGGUGGCACACGUUAUUAAACGAAGCUUUGUGGUCAUACCGGAUGGCUUGUCAUGGAUCGACCAGGGUUUCACCUUAUCAGUUGGUGUAUGGGCAUGAUGCAGUAUUACCUUGGGAAGUUAAGACUGGGUCUAGGCGACUAUCUUUUCAAGAUCAAUUGGCUGCCGAUGAUUAUGCUACUUUGAUGACAGACGAGUUAGAUGAUCUAGCAGGACAUCGGCUAAGGGCCUUAAUGAGUAUAGAAGAGAAUAAGAAGAGGAUUGCCAGAUGGUAUGAUAAGAAAGUGAAGGCUAAGGAGUUUGCCGAUGGAUACUUAGUAUGGAAAUUAAUCUUACCGAUCGGGACUAAAAGUUCAAAAUUUGGGAAGUGGUCUCCCAAUUGGGACGGUCCUUAUCGGAUAAGUCGAUCGGCUCCUGGUAAUGCCUAUAUUCUAGAAACCCUCGAAGGAGUUGAAUUUCCUAGAGCAUUAAAUGGCAAAUAUCUAAAGAAGUACUACCCCAGCAUAUGGGUCGAUGCAUGAAGCUUUAAGUGCCGAUAACAUUCCUAUCGGCUGGAUCAAAAUGUAUCUGGAGCUGAAUGUAGUGUUUUGAAAGACACCGUAAACAGUCCUAUUGGCUAGACUAAGGUACUGGGAGUGCUCAAAGGGGGAGAGGAGGAUGUAUUGCCGAUGAAGAGCUCAUGUGUUCAGCAGCUCCUGGAUUGCCGAUAUGGCGCGCAAACGGAUCUAGUUGGCUUCCUCUAUCUCCUUCAUGUCGUCAUCGGCAGAGCCCUCCACCGGUUUCAGCUUCUUUUUCAUCUGCAGCGCGUUACGACCAUGAAUGUUUUGCUCUUUGUUGAUGGUCCUUAAGUACCAAAUAUAAUCAGCAAAUAAACAAAGAAAAGGAUCCAAAUGCAACCAACACCCAGACUUAGGGUUUUAUCUGACAGAAUUCCUCGAGUUUUGGUGUUUGUCUAUUUCUCCAGGGGGUUAUCAGGAAAUAAGGAAGAAAGGCCCACACGUCGGGAUUACAUAGAGAUAUCAACGUGCCGCGCAAUUAUCUUACAUCUAGAAGACUCUAGAAGCCACGGGAAGGAAGCGGAGGCCGAAUAGAGCCAGGCCCUGGGCGCCCGCCCACCUAUUUCGGCCAAUCACGCUCAAUCUCGCGGAUUAUGCUCCACCGACCUAAAGGAUCAAUAAUAACCGUUCAAUCAAUGUCGGUUUGAUCCGACGACCCAGGUUCACUUGAGGGGACUAUAUAACCAGACCCCCUGGCUCCUGGAGGAGGCACCCCUUGAUCAUUAUUCAUUAUUCAUAGACAGAGCAAAAGCUAGGGUUUAUAGAUGAGAGCUCUCCUCUCUUCUCUAAACUAGAGUAGAUCUAGAUAGUAGCAAGAUGGAGAGCGAAGGAGGAUUAGAGGAGAGGCCGGCCUGUCGGUUCUUCCUCUGGUUGUACUUCGUCAUGAUCAAGCUCUAAUCAAGCUUGCUCAUGGGAUGACUCUGGUAAUCUACUUCUAAUUCAUUAUGCAAUUACUAAUCAUGUAUGUUCUGGUUCACAGCUCUUUUGAGUACUUCUAAUCUAUAGGACCCUAUAGGUUAGAGUUGUAGUAUAGGUGUAAGCGUGGUGCUUAGACCUAGAUUACUUGUGCAUAUCCCCUGUCUAGCUGGAUCGUGUGGUAGGCCGCGUAGGUGAUAGUUACGUUGGUCCCCUGUAGUCCACCUCUCGUUAGCAAGACGGGUAGGGUUUAUCGGCCUAUGGAUAAGCAUCCUUUGUGGUGUAAUCUUAUCACGUGGUUCAUCCCAGACAUAGACAUACCCCUUUGAAGUAGAGAAACCAUAGUUAUCCUCUCUAUUCUGCUACCAUCGCCCAUAUACUAGAUUGCUCUACUCUUUAUUCCCUUAUUAUCACUCACUGUUAUCUUACCUUUAAUAUUGUUCUUAUUCAAUUAUACCAUCUUUCCUAUUUACACUUAUCUAUCUAUCUUGGUUAAGUUAGAGCGUAGUUGGUUCUCCCGUUUCCCUGUGGAUACCACAAAAUCUUUAACCGGGUAAAAGCUAUAACGGUAUCCGUGCGCUUGCAGAUUAUCUAUGUGCGUAUAAAUACCAUAGUACACUCUAGUGUCAUGCUGGGGAUGACAACCUAGUAUUCAAGUGGUGUUAGCAAGUGUCAACAAGCAUUUUUGGUGCCGUUCCCAGGGAAACGGUUGCUGAGUUGACUAUGAACUAGCUUAAUCAUUUUCAAAAAAAUAAAAAAAAUAUAUAUAUACUUUUCCUUUUAUCUUUUGCCUUAUCUCUGCUAUUCUUUCUUCUUAUCUAAUCCUUGAUCUCUGGUCUAUCAUGAAUUCAAACAUGUCUAUCUAUGAAUUUCAUAGACCUACGGGCACACAUCUCGAACCACCAAAAUCUUCAAAGCCUAUCAUAGCAUCUAGUUUUGAGAUAGACCCCGAAUACAUAGAAUUUAUUCAAAAACAACCUUUCUCAGGAGAAGGUGAGGAAAACCCAUACACACACCUAAGAGAGUUUUAUCGAGUCUAUGACCUCCUUCGCAUAGAAGGCAUGUCCGAUGAGACCCUUAAAUGGAAGCUCUUUCCGUUCUCUUUAACGGGAGAAGCUAGACAUUGGUACAAACUCAAAGUAGGUAGUGUUCAUGGAGAUUGGAAGAAGUUAUAUAAUAGUUUUCUUUUAAAAUAAUUUCCAAUCUCCAAAGUGGCAGAACUUUGGCAUGAGAUUAUUUCUUUUAGACAACUGGAAGAAGAAUCUCUUGGCAAAUCAUGGGACCGUUUUAUUAACCUUACUCUCACUGGCCCAAAGCUUUCUAUUCCAGAAGAAGUUCUUCUAAUUCACUUUUUUGAGGGCCUUAGUAGGGAAAAUAAGCAAACCGUGAAUACAGCCUCUGGAGGAUCCUUCUAUCACCUACCAGCUAGUGAAGCUAGGGAUUUAAUUGAUUCAUUGAGCGGAAAGUUUCCUAGCAUUUAUAUCCCUGAGAAAGAGAAAGAACCAGUUCCUAGACAAGAAGAAGAAGUUUCGAUAGCCAGAUCACAACCACUUCUAUUCCAAACUUUAGCUAUCGAUCCUAAACCAUCAGUACCCCAAAAUUCUCCAAGGGAGGAAGGAAUUCCGACCUUAAAUCUUUCAGAUACUGAUGGUUUAGACUUCUGGUUCCAUAAGAGACCUUCAAGUAGGGAUAAUUCAAAUCCUUGCAAUAAUGUUUCUCUUAGAGAAUGUCCUGGUUCCUAUUAUGAAGAAGUCAAGGAUGACAUAUCAAGUGAAGGAGAGCUAAGCCAUAUAGAAAAUUCUAACAGCUCCCCUUUCCUGAUCUCAUGUUCCAAAUGGCUAGAAUGUGUAGAAUGGAUGGAUAAGGAAGAAGCUUUAAUGGAUUCUAACUUUGGCUCAAUUUCAAAUGGUGAGUUCUUGGCUCCCUUUGAAGAUGAGAUUCAUCCAACUAUAGAAGAGGACAUAGGUGAGACCAAUCUAGGAGAAACUCCGAACAUUCAGAUUGGAGACGAAGAUAACAUUAAUGAGCAUAGAAUUUAUUUCAUAGCCACUUCAUUUGCUCCAUGCUCAUAUACAACAUCUUCCCAACAUCACCACAUUUGAGAUCUCCAACCCCCUCUUCCUUUCUAUUUAUAAAAACUUUAAAAGCGCGGUUGUCGAUUCAUAUGUCUAUAAUAAAUAUUGCAGAUCUCAUUGAGUUGAUCUUGAUAUAGGUCAGCGUUCGAAGGGAAACCACUUCACCGACAUAAAUUGAUGGAUUCCCAAGGACAAGCUUAGUGUCCUAAAACAAGCACUGAUCAGAUCGUAACAUGAGCUUUAAAUUAUUUGCAACAUUACUUUGUGUAUUGAGCAUAUAAAGAUAAUUGUAAAAAUAUUCCUUCGGGUAUUCUUGUCACUAACCUUUCAAGGAUUGGGGCAAGAAGAUCGGAUGAAUGACAAGCACAAGGUAUGUCCAACCAAUCAUCAUAUAACAUUGAAUUAAAUUCAUCCAAACUUGAAUUUUGCAAAAUUCAAGCUUGGGGGAGUACUCUACAUAAAAACAUCCUUUGCCAUGUUCCUAUAUUGGUUGUCCCUACCUUUGAUACAUGCUCAAUUUGUUAAAUACUAAUCACACUACUUCAUCUCCACUUGAGUAGAUCUCUAUAAAUGCUAUCAUGCUACCUUUGUCUAUUUACUAGCAAGUGUUGGUUUGGAAGUACUCGCCAUACUUCCAUUGGCUUUUAAAUUAAGCAUGGUGCUUAGGUUAAACAGCCUUCCUUAAUCGGAUUAGACAUGGAGUCUAGUUUGGUUAUUGAACUAAAAACUGCAUGAGUAGAUAUUUGUAUAUUUUGUCGGACUAACCCCUGCAGGAAAACUUUCAAUAUCAACCUGGGAAGUCCUGAGAUAAACUCACAUAGGAGAUGAAGAGAGAGACACAUCAAGUUUAACAAUUUACACAAGGAAGACAUAGCUCAUAAGAGAUGAUCCAUGGAGGGUGCCACGAUGCACAACCGCUAAGAAAGGAAAGCUUCCACAAGGUGAGACUGUACCAUCACUCUUCAAUUAAGGUAACACCUUAAGGUACUUGACUGUCACUUUUAUAAGCUUCUUAUUGGUUCUGGCGUUCAUAUGAAUAAAAGAGACAAACAUGUAUGAUUUAUAACUCCAAAUUAACCAACCCCACUGAUUCAGCAUGUUUAGUCCCUUAAUCUUUGAUCCUCACACUCCUAGUCAUAUGAGCUAAAAUGUUGCACAUUUAAUCUUUGGGAAGAUAUAAAGAAAAAGACAUAUAUAUAGAUAGAUUAUCUUUCCAUUAGGUUGAGCGAUCUGAUCCAGCAAAUGUUUUAAAUGCUACACUCAUGAACUUAUCACCCAUCAACGUUGUCUUGCUCCCUAUGCUUAAGGAUAGAGAAGAAUAAAUAUACUUUUGGUUCUGUUGGUGUUUUCCACCAACAGGACCCAUGCACUUGAUCUCUGCCUUGUCUCUAUGAGUAGGUACACUUCGAGCAAAACAUGGUGGAGUUUUACAACUCCCAGACUCCACCAAGUGAAGGACCUGGAUCUAUGAGCAUAAACACACUGAGCAGGAUGCUGCCAACGCCACACUUCAAACUUCUAGGCAAACGAAGAACGUGGGUGACACCGUAUCAAGAGGUGCAGACGUCAAGGUCCUCACCUGGAUCAAAAGACGCACCUAAAGAAUGAACACGGUGAGAAGUCUUGUCCAGAAGACUUAAAACAUUGGAUCCUUGCCGGAAGGUAAAAUCGGUAUUUAUCCAUAUUUAUCUUUUCUGCAUUCCUUUUCCUUUUUAUUCCAUCACUUGCAUUAGCAUAUUUACUUUCCCACAUUAGCAUUAGAAAAGAAAACAAAAAAAAAUAUUUGUUCAUUGCACUGCAUCAUAAAAUCUAAAGCCCCAUGUGAGUAUGCUCGUGGCAUAAAACCCAUAAGUACAUUCACUGUGGUGGCGUAAAAAUAAAAUAAAUAUAUUCCUGUCCUAUAAAAAUGAAAAUAUAAAAAUAAAUUUAUGAUCCUACCAAAGAGAGUAAUAUUUAUUAGAGGAAGCUCAACAUGAUAAAGGCAAAGAGAUUUUAUGCUAAAACUUAACCAGUUCCACAAAGCUUUGUUGUCUAUUUGAGCUCCACAGAAUUCAAGGAUCAAAGAAGACUAGCAGACAGAGGACAUUCUAAUCGCUGUCAGGGUGCUGCCGACAUUCAAAUAAACCUCCGCCACCUGCUAGCUACAUCAAAAGAGAUUACGUCAAAAUCUAGGUUGGGGGAGAGCACCCCCAUUUAUCCAGCUAAGUAUUUCUAUCUACGUUUAUACUUAUACUUUGUUAAAAUAAUAAAAAGAUGCAUAAUCAUAAAAACACAAAUAAAGAUUUUAUGCUUAUAUAUAUCUUUUCUUAGUUUGCUAAAUAAAUAAAUAAACAAAGUUUGCUAUGAACCCUCAUGAUAAGCUCUCACAUGGAAAUGAUGAAUAGUUGCUCUGCCAUGACUAGUUCUCAAAAGUGAAAUCUCUCUCAAGUUUAGGUAUGACUGUUAUGAAUUAAGAUUUUCUCUAAAACCUAAACUUGUGGGAAGAGUACUUGAUCUAAAUUCUAAGUCGUUAACGGAUACAAUAUGGGAUGAUUGAGCUGCUAUUUGUCUGUUCCUAGAGAUGCUAGAAUUCUGGAGAAUUUUAUCGUUGAAAAUCUUUAAAAUGUUGCAUGACGAGUUCCUGUAUGAUGAGAGUUUAAAAUCCUACCACAGCUAUAUAUACAUGCUUAUUAGACUAUGAACCAUACAUUUACUUUUUACUGCUUAUGAGCAUUGAGUGUGGUCAUGCUGUGUAGACCCUUCGGAGCUUGUCAUGCGGUUAAAAUCAAGAUUCACUUGCACUCAUACAUGCUGCUUCUACUCUAGAAGUACGCAUCCACAUACAUCCACUCCUUUCCAUCUCCAGAUUCACCUAAAAUUAUUCUACUCCUAUCCAGGAGAGAAUAGCCAAAAACAUUAUCCUAUCCCUGUUAUUCCCUGUGAAAUAAAUGCUCUUGAUAUUUUGGUUACUACCACUUGCUACAUUAUUCUAGGAGGGUGAGUGCUCUGAAAAAAAAAUAAAAAAUAUACGAGGAAAUAAAAAGGGGCAAGUGCCCGGAACCUCGAAGAAAAGAAAAAGUGAGACGAGAGGUAAAAAUAGACAAGUGUCCGACAGUAGAAUUAGGGGUACAAGAUACCCACCUGAGAAAAAAAUAUAUAUAGAGCAUCUCAUUCCCCUCAAAAAGCUCCAAAGUGCAAGAAAGGUAUGUAUCCUCUCAAAAGAUCAAAAGUAGAAUUAGACUUUCACCAAUGUUUUCACCAUUAUUACCAUCAUCACCAUACACCAUUCAUUCGCCACACAUGCACAUCUUGAUUUGACUUAUUGACUUGUUUCUCUGGAUCCAUGGUUUGACUAUGCAAUAAAUGUCUUGUAAGUAUGUAUUAGCUGUCUCCCACCUAUGAGCUCUAGAUAUCAAAACCAUAGGGUGAGAGAGAAGGCAAUAUCACUAUGCCUCAUACCAAAAAUACCACAUACUUUGGGAGAAGGCAUAUAUUAUCACUGCCUUGGUAAGGAUCCAGAAAUACCACAAAAGAGAGACUUGAGAGAGUCAUACAAGGAAUCUCUGAGUUUUAUUUGAAAAUCUACAAAAACUCCAGAGCUAUAGUUGAUCAAAGAACAAGAGACAUGGUGCUUGACUUGACCGUUCUAUCUUUUAACUGCUCAAGACACAAGUGGCGGUUGCAAGCCCCAUGGUGAAAGGUAAUAUGAGUAAGAUUUAAAUCUUAACAAUUUACCCUAACCUAGAGAUGAGAUCUUGUUUAAACGCAUGUGUACCUUUAAGGCAUAAAACCACUGCCGAAACUUUUGAGUCCAUCCUUGCUCAGGCACGAGCAAGAGGUAAGCUUGAGGGAGUAGUUGACGGUCCUUAAGUACCAAAUAUAAUCAGCAAAUAAACAAAGAAAAGGAUCCAAAUGCAACCAACACCCAGACUUAGGGUUUUAUGUGACAGAAUUCCAAGAGUUUUGGUGUUUGUCUAUUUCUGCAGGGGGUUAUUAGGAAAUAAGGAAGAAAGGCCCACACGUCGGGAUUACAUAGAGAUAUCAACGUGCCGCGCAAUUAUCUUACAUCUAGAAGACUCUAGAAGCCACGGGAAGGAAGCGGAGGCCGAAUAGAGCCAGGCCCUGGGCGCCCACCCAAGUCCUUAGGGCGCCCGCCCACCUAUUUCGGCCAAUCACGCUCAAUCUCGCGGAUUAUGCUCCACCGACCUAAAGGAUCAAUAAUAACCGUUCAAUCAAUGUCGGUUUGAUCCGACGACCCAGGUUCACUUGAGGGGACUAUAUAACCAGACCCCCUGGCUCCUGGAGGAGGCACCCCUUGAUCAUUAUUCAUUAUUCAUAGACAGAGCAAAAGCUAGGGUUUAGAGAUGAGAGCUCUCCUCUCUUCUCUAAACUAGAGUAGAUCUAGAUAGUAGCAAGAUGGAGAGCGAAGGAGGAUUAGAGGAGAGGCCGGCCUGUCGGUUCUUCCUCUGGUUGUACUUCGUCAUGAUCAAGCUCUAAUCAAGCUUGCUCAUGGGAUGACUCUGGUAAUCUACUUCUAAUUCAUUAUGCAAUUACUAAUCAUGUAUGUUCUGGUUCACAGCUCUUUUGAGUACUUCUAAUCUAUAGGACCCUAUAGGUUAGAGUUGUAGUAUAGGUGUAAGCGUGGUGCUUAGACCUAGAUUACUUGUGCAUAUCCCCUGUCUAGCUGGAUCGUGUGGUAGGCCGCGUAGGUGAUAGUUACGUUGGUCCCCUGUAGUCCACCUCUCGUUAGCAAGACGGGUAGGGUUUAUCGGCCUAUGGAUAAGCAUCCUUUGUGGUGUAAUCUUAUCACGUGGUUCGUCCCAGACAUAGACAUACCCCUUUGAAGUAGAGAAACCAUAGUUAUCCUCUCUAUUCUGCUACCAUCGCCCAUAUACUAGAUUGCUCUACUCUUUAUUCCCUUAUUAUCACUCACUGUUAUCUUACCUUUAAUAUUGUUCUUAUUCAAUUAUACCAUCUUUCCUAUUUACACCUAUCUAUCUAUCUUGGUUAAGUUAGAGCGUAGUUGGUUCUCCCAUUUCCCUGUGGAUACGAUAAAACCUUUAACCGGGUAAAAGCUAUAACAGUAUCCGUGCGCUUGCGGAUUAUCUGUGUGCGUAUAAAUACCAUAAUACACUCUAGUGCCAUGCUGGGGAUGACAACCUAGUAUUCAAGUGGUGUUAGCAAGUGUUAACACUCUUGCUCAAGAAGCUUGAUUGUCUCCGACAGUUGGCUUUCUUCUUGUCGGGCUUAGAACAAGGCAUCCUCUACUUGCUUGAGUUCGGCCAACAGGGCUUCUCUUCUCACCGAUAGAUCAGAAAUCUUCUGCUUCAAUGCAUCUCCUGAAGACUGUAAGAUGCUAAUGUUCUUGUGCUUCUCAUCGGCAAGGAGUUUCACUUUCAUCAUCUCUUCAGACAGCUAGGCAUGAGCUGCUCUGUCGGCGAGACGUUGGGCAGCCCUCUGAUACUACAGUUGACGGCUCUCUAGGUGUGCAGCUUGGAAGAGGAUUUCUUCAGCAUCGGCAAGAAUUUGGCUUCUGAGCGUCUUGAACAAAACUUUGGUUGGGUCGGAGUCAUCCACCAGCUGGGUCGUGUCUUGAUGAAGGAGGGCUGAUAACUCUUCUAGCUUUGCCCUGACUUCUACCGAUACGACCCCAACUGCCCGAGAAGAGCUCGCCUCCUCACCUUCGUAUUCAGAGAUGUCAAUGGCAAAGGAAAACAAGCUAUUGGGAGAGUCCUGUUCCUGGAAGAGAAAUAAAGUGAGUCAUUCCGUGGUCAAGAAUUGACAAAUGAUACUGAUGGAGAUUGGAUGGCUUACUUGUUUCAAGGCAAUUUCUCGCCUUUGACUGGAAGAUGCCGAUGCCACUAUAGGCUGAUCGGCUGAGGUUGCCGAUGGAACUAUGUCGGCUGAAAAAUUAUUAGAAAUAAUUAUGAGAUCAGGAAAAUGGAUUCAUCGGUAAUGACUUUGUAAAGAUGUAUUACCUUGAGGAGGUGUCGUGCCUUUCUGGAUCGAGGAAACUACCGAUGCUAUGAUUGAGCCUGCUGGAUCGGUAGUCUGCUCGCCCACAUCAGCCGAUGUGUCUUCAGGCUGAGGUCCUGCUGGUUGGGUUUCUUCCACUUGAGGUGCUUCUUGCAGCUGAAGGGGAGAUGGUGCCUGCUGUGUCUGUGCUUCUGGAGAAGAGGGAGAAGAUUCUACCUAAAUUGGAGAUACUGGGGGAGGAGGAGGCGUUGCUACUCUUUGGCGCUUUGUUUGUGCUCUAGUACUCUUGGCACCCUUUCUCUUCGGCUGACUGGACUGGGGGGCAUCGGCACUUGAGCUUCUGGUCCUUGCCGAUGCACCGGUGUGUUGAUACAGAAAGGGAAAAUUAUGAAUACAAGUGCAACAGAUGUAAGAACGAAAUCGGUAUGAAAGAGUUUGAAAAUGUACCUUGAAUGCCUGUGCCAAGGCAGAGGCGGCCACCGAUGGAGAUAUCUUAGUCCUCUUGGUGGUGACUUUCUUGAGGCGUACGCCUCGAUGCAUUAUGGCAGCCAAAGUGGGAGCGUUGUUGCCGAUUGAAGAGAUCGGACCUAAUGGAAAAAGGUCAAUCGGCUUGCCACUCCUGCUAAUCGAUGGGGGAACGUCAUCAACCUGCAAUAGAAUAUAGAAAGUGAGUUACCGAUGGAAAUAAAAUUAAAGGAAUUGAGACAUCGGUUUGGAAAUACUUACAAUAUUGUCCGGAACUUUGUAUUGGGGGUUGAUCAUGCCGCGAUACGAAAGAGCUGAUUUAUAGAAUAAAUGUUCCUUCCAUUCCUCCCACCAUUGUUUGUAUGCCUAAGUAAUGAAGAGGGCCGGGAUCCACUCUGAUAGAUUUACAUCUGUAUCGGCAUUCGAUGAUAGCUGGGCUACUCGGAUCCACUCGAGGAGGUUAGUGAUGGCUUCCCUGGGUUUUAUCACAUCGGCAUAACAGAGUGCAAUCGGCAGCUGGCCGAAAGCUAGUUGACGGGCAAGUGCCGAUGGGCUGUAAAACUCAUAGGUUUGGUUGGAGGUUUUCCCACUGCCAAAAAAGUUUACUGGUAUAGCUCUGGGGGUGAUCAGUGCCAUCAUCACUUCGUCAUCUUUGUUAAGAGCAUUGUUGAACGGAUGGAAGACCAAGGGAAACAUGGUGUCUGGAUCUUCAUAGGGCAUCCAUGCUCGCUGUUCUCUGGUCAGGCCUUCAUACAAGGUUUGGAAGAAUCGGCUGACCUAGUCUGCGUUACCCCCUGCACCGGGUAGAACUAUGGCAGCCUCACCAAAGUUUAGAGGAGGGCGAGUUGCCGAUUCUUCCUCAUCCAAUUCAUAGUCCUCGGCUAUAUCCCUGGGGAAGCGUUGUGCGAAGAGGUCAAACUCAAGACGCUUGUGCAUGUGGAGGCUGAGCCACAUGUUGAUGAACCACCAGGGACCCCCAAGUUGCCGAUGGGCUAGCCGAGUAGGAGUUUCCUGGUUGCUUGAUGAAGGAGGUGGUAAGCUGCGCCAAGCAGGUAUCGGCCGAGGGGAAAUCGGCCACCAUUGGCUAGUCUUUCUGCUACUGCUAAGUAGAAGGAAGUUGGUCCUGCCGAUCGACCACAAAAUACGAAUUUGUCCAACCACAUGUUCUGGAAGCUGGUCUGUUCCUUUAUGUUGACAGGGCCUGUUCGUUUGUAUUUUUGGAUGUACCCUGACCAACCACCGAUGGAACGAGUUUCUACCUUGGCACUGGGUUUGGUAUCAAAAAAGUGGGUUCUAUCGGCAGAAGAUACAUCUAGGCCGGUGAGCAUAACCACAUCAGCAAGUGUAGGGGAAGCAGGGCCGUGGCCAAAGACAAAGGCAUUGAGUGUGUCUGACCAGAAAUAUGAUGCAGCCAUCAGCAGUGACUCAUUCCUAUGCAUAUCGGCAAUAGACAACCUGAUGCAUUGGUCUAGUUUUCUUUCGCCCCACUGGACUUCAUUUGAGUGGCUGACUCUCAAAAACCAAUCCUUCCAUCCCGCGGUAGGACUGGGCUAGGAACGGAAGGUGUCCUUCCAUAGAUCUAGAGAAAAGUUCUCUGCUCUAAAGGGGAUUCUGUUUGUUUCUGCGUUAAUGAGAUCGGCGGGAUCUGGAUCCCCUAAGGGGCCAAGACAUUGGAGGUGUGGCUGAUCGGUAGGGAUGACAAUUUUAUUAGAUAGAUCCUAAUGGUUUUGAAGGAAAAAGAAGAACAAAGAAGGAAAAAGAAAAAAUGUUCAGUAAAAUAAAUUGCAGAUGAAUAGGGGUACGGUAAAAGCACAAGAGGUGGAAUGAAGAACUAACCUCGGGAACGGUGAAGUUGAUGGCCAUCUCCUCACAAAAAGGAUGAUCGAAGGCUCCGAGGUUGGUGAAGAAGGGGCUUUGUUGGAGUUCUUGGAGAUCUCGAACAGCGCCGCCAGGAAGGUGGAGUUGGAACUGUGGAAUGAUACGAUGGAGAAGGAGUACCCGAGAAGGAACUAUUUAUAGGCCAAAAUGGGCGAGGGUAAAUCCGACUUAUCACUUCGCCGUAUCCAUGAAAUCCGAGGAUACUCAGGAAGAUAUGGUAACUGUUCGCACGGUAAUCAAGGGUUUGUGCAGGUGAUUUGACAGGAAGCGGUUGUGAUCUGAAGAUAUUUUACUGUGCAAGAUUUCCUGGUCGAACCAUUGGUAGCGCCUUGUAACGGUAAUAUUGCCGAUGGGCGGAUAAAGUGGAGAUAUCCGUUUGGGAGGAUAAGAUACUUUACUGAAUAGGACGUCCUGGUCAGUCCGUCGGCGGGUCUCUGUUACGGUAACAUUGCCGAUGGGCGACUAAAGUGGAGAUGUCUGUUUGGGAAGUUGAGGAUUUCGAGGAAUCUGCGGAGGAUCGAACCAAGGUUGUUCAGAUUAGGGUUGUCAGUUACCAAAUUCGGAGAAUUAAUUGUGGAAAGGCAUCAUUACUGCAGAAAAUUUCGGAGCACUAAUGAUUUCAUACUCUGAAAUUGGGGGGCAUGUGUUGACACCGUUUUUGGGCACGUACCCAGGAUCGGUAGAGUGUAGAUCGGCAAGAAAGGGCAAUAGAGGAGAGUUGCCGAUAAGGGUGGUUGCCGAUGAAGAGAUAGCUGAAUGUGGCUAAGUCCACGGGUGGUGAUGUCUUUAUGCCGAUGGCCUGUAUUAAUCGUUGCCGAUGGAGAGUCUGCCGAUGACGUGGAAGGAAGACUUGACGGUUGCCAAUUGGUCCGUGGUGGUGUCCCAGCUUGUCACGGUAGGGUAGUUUUAUGUUUUCCUUAGUUAUUUAAAUCGUUUUGUACACAGAUUCUGUUUAAAUUUGGAAUUCGAAUUCUGGUUGUAGCUCUUUGAGCAGGGUAUAAAUGUGGACCCUAAGGCCUUGUAAUCAAUCUAUCAAUCAAUCAAACACAUGUUUUUACUCAUAUCCCAGCAUCUACUUUUUCGACGAUUUCGUCAUAUUUUCCUUUUUAUUACGAGUUCUUAGGAGUUCGUCGACUUAAGCUUGGCGUAUUCUCAGGUUCCGUGUGAAUAUCUCUUGGCCGUGGCAUCCGGGCGCAUCACUGUUGUCGGGACCAAAGUAUUCGAGUUAUCACCUUUGCCGAUAGUAAGGUCAAAUCGGCUGGCACGCCUUAACGUUUGAAUCGGGUAUUAGCCCUUUGUGUUUGCAGAUCAGCUUUUGCAUCAACACCUAGUGAACGGUAAUGUUGGGUAUUCUUAACAUCAUUACCAAAAGUAGACUAAGUCUCUAAAUCUAGCAACGGUGCCAAAAAUGACAAACCUAUCCCUCACACCACUUAAGCCAAGUUGUCAUCCCCAGCAUGAUAUAAGAGACGCGGUAUUGAAAUAUGCAAUUGCUCUUCUAAAUAAAUAAUGAAUGGGAUCUGCAAGCGCACAGAUUAAUACCGAUGUAGCAUUUUAACCGGGAAGUAUUCCAGGUAUCGUUAUUUAUAUUUUUACCACUGGGAAGGGAUUAGCAAUCAUCAAUAUUGAUUACAGAAUAGAAUAUGAGAUUGAGCAUCUAUGAUUGCAUGUAUAAUUGAGAACAUUAUAUCUAACUCAUCAUACAGGGAUAAGUGUCACAUAAAAGAUAUAUGAAAUAAUAAUAGUGACAAGGAUAAUUAAUCUGAUCUAGCCACAUAAUAAAUAUGAUAAGCACCUCAAUUAGAUACUCUAGAAAGUCAUUAGCAUGGUAUUAGAACGAACUACAAGAAUAUUCCCUAAGUUAUUCUUAACUAUAUAGUCUAGCAUUAUCAUAAUUAGUGCAAGCAUACUUAGCAAUCAUUGUGAGACAAGACUACGCCCAUGCAUAGUGAUAUUAGCAAGGAAUAUGAGAAACAUAGCAAUCACUCCCCUAUAAUAAUGUUGCUCUGCCAGCCCAAUACACGAGAGGGGGACUAUAUAAGAAUCAAUGAAGCUGUCACUAUCACGAACCACCCCACGAUCUGGCAUAUUGGGUACAAUCGCAGAUAAAUACGGUAUAAGCACCACGCCUACACAAUAUCUAUCAUUUACCCAUGGAUCCGAUGAAUAAACGCUAUACGAUCCUAAGCAUGUAUAUAGAUCGAAUCUAACUAAGCCAAGUACAUAACUAUGAUAAACUAAGAACAAUAUAAUCUUGAAUAUAAGCAAGUAGAGCAAAGUCAUAAGCAAUAUAUUGAAGUAGAACAAAGUCAUAUUCAUAAUAUUGAAGAACAAAGAUAAUUAGAAAGUAAUUAGAAGCACAAUUAGAGAAUUACCAAGAAUCCUCUUGACAGAUCCGGAAACCAAUCGAAGAUUGACUCCUUCUAGUUCUAAUCCUAUGUAGCUAUGCUAAUCUAGAUAUCUAAUUGAUGUGGUGGCUCUAAUCUUGAUCAGAGGCUUCUUCUCCCUUGAUGGAACAAUGAAUUAGGGUUGAGAGGCUCUCUCCUCCAGGGGCCAGGGGGUACGGUUUUAUAGUCCCUCCAAGUGAAUAUGGGCCCUUGGAUCGAACCGACAUAGAUUGUAUGGUUUAGAUUCAUCCUUUAGGUCGGUGGAGAUCUCUCGCAAAGCAGAGUCCUGAUUGGACUUGGGGGCAGGGCGGGCGCCCAGUAGGACAGGGCGGGCGCCCUGUCUCUGGCCCCGUUUCGCCUCCGCUUCGGUCUCGUGGCUUCUGGAGUCUUCUAGAUGUAAGAUAAUUGCGCAGCACGUUAAUAUCUUUACGUAAUCCCGACAUGUGGGCCUUUCUUCCAUUUUUCCUGAUAACCCCCUGCAGAAAUAGACAAACACCAAAACUCGUGGAAUUCUGUCAGAUAAAACCCUAAGUCUAGAUCUUGAUUUCAUUUGGAUCCUUUUCUUUAUUUAUUUGAUAAUUAAAUUUGAUACUUAAGGACCGUCAACAAACUCCCCCAAGCUUACCUCUUGCUCAUCCCUGAGCAAGGAUAGACUCAGCUAUAGAUCAUAAGUAGUUGCAAUAUCUUUAUAAAUUUGACGGUACACAUGCUUUUAAAUAAGAUGUCAUCUCUGAGUUAGAGUAAACUGUCAAGACUUAAAACUUACUUACUUUACCUUCACCAUGGGAUUUGUAACUGUCACUUCUGUCUUGAGUGGUUAAAAUAUAGAACAGUCUAGCCAAGUGCCAUGUCUCUUAUUCUUGAUCAGCUAUAACUCUGGGGUUUUUGCAGAUUUUCAAAUAAAACUCAGAAAUUCCUUGUAUGAUUCUCUCAGGUCUCUCUUUCGUGGUAUUUUUGGAUCCUUACCAAGGCAGUGAUGGUAUAUGCCUUCUCUCAAAAUAUGUAGUAUUUGUGGUAUAAGGCAUAGUGACAUUGCCUUCUCUCUCACCCUACUCUAAUAAAGCUUUAAUAUCUGGAGCUCAUAGGUGGGAGAUAAAGUAUACAUACUUACAAGACAUUUAUUGCAUAGUCAAACCAUGGAUCCAAAGAAACAAAUCAAUAAGCCAAAUCAAGAUGUGCAUGUGUGGCGAAUGAAUGGUGUAUGGUGAUGAUGGCGAUAACAAUGGUGGAAACAAUGGUGGUGGAAGUCUAAUUCUACUUUGCUCUUUUGAGGGGAUACAUACCUUUCUUGCUUUUGAAACUUUAUGAUGAGAAUGAGAUGCUCUUCUUUUUCUUGUCUCUCAGGUGGGUAUCUUGCACCCCUAAUUCUACUAUCGGACACUUGUCCAUUUUUACCUCUCGUCUCACUUUUUCUUUUCUUUCGAGGUUCCGAGCACUUGCUCCUUUUUAUUUCCUCGUAUCUCUCUCUUUUUUUUCAGAGCAUUCAUCUCUUGAGAUAAUAUAGCAAGUGGUAGUAACAAGAUAACGUGAGCAUUUAUUUCACAAGGGGAAAAUAGAAAUAUUUUUGGUUAUUCUCUCCCGGAUUAGGAGCAGAAUAUUUUUGGGUGAUUCUGGAGAUGGAAUGGGUGAAUAUAUGUGGAUGGUACUUCCGGAGUAGAAGUAGCAUAUAUGAGUGAACGUGCAAGUGAAAUCUUGAUUUAACCACAUGACAAGCUCCUAAGGGUCUACACAGCUUGACCACACACAAUGCUCAUAAGCAGUAAAUAAUAAAUGUGUGGCUCAAAGUCUAACAAGCAUGUAUAUAUGGCUGUGGUAGGAAUUUAAACUCUCAUCAUACAGGAACUCAUCAUGCAACAUUUUAAAGAUUUUCAAAGAUAAAAUUCUCCAGAAUUCUAGCAUCUCUAGGAACAGAUAAACAGCAGCUCAACCUUCCCAUAUCAUAUCCGUUAACAACUUAGACUUCAGAUCAAGUUUUCAUCCCACAAGUUUAGGUCUAGGGUAAGCUUUAAAUUAUAACAGUUAUAUCUAAACUUGAGAGAGAACUUAAAAUGUGCAAAUUAGGCAGAGCAACUAUUUUAUCAUAUCCAUGCUUAAGUUUUAUUUAGAUACAGAUUAGCAUAGCCACUUUAUUUAUUUAUUAAACACACUAAGCAAAAGACAUAUAUAUAAGCAUAAAAUCUUUUUUUGGUUUUCUCAUAGUUUUUGUAUUUUAAUAUUCUAAAAUAAUAUAAGUAUAAAGAUAGAUAGAUAGAAAUACUUAUCGAGAUAAAUGGGGGUGCUCUCCCCCAAGCUGAAUUUUGACGUAAUUUCUCUUGAUGUAGCUAGCAGGUGGCAGAGGUGUAUUUGAAAGUCAGCAGCAUUCUGACAGCGAUUAGAAUGUCCUCCGUCUGCUAGUCUUCUUGAUUCUUAAAUUCUGUGGAGCUCAAAUAGACAACAUAGCUUGUGGAACUGAUUAAGUGUUAGCAUAAAUAUCUAGCCUUUAUUAUCUUGAGACUCCUUAAUAAAUAUUACUCCCUGUUUUUAUAUUUUUGUUUUAUAAAGCAGAAAAAUAUUUAUUUUUAUUUUUAUGCCACCACAGUGAAUGUACUUAUGGGUUUUAUGCCACUCGUAUACUCACAUGGGGCUUACAGUUUUUCAUAUUUUUAUUUUCUUUUUAAGAUAAUACGAACUAAGUAAACUAUUUGAAAUAAUUGAAAGGGAAAGGAUAACUACCAAGUUUACCUCUUGGCAAGGCGUUCGGUGUUUUUAAGUCCUCCGAACGGGACUCUCCAUUUUCUUUAAUCGUCCUGAGGUUCGUUGGGUGGCGUAGUCGGUACUUCCGGCAGCGCCUCCUCUUCAUGUAUAGUUAUCUUCAUUUUCCAUACCUGACUCGGUACUUCAAUCUCCUCUGGAUAAUUCUGUUUAAACUCUAUGUCUUCUGACCUUAUCCCUUCUCCUUCGUAGUCUGCCCAUCCGUCCUUGAUGAUCUGCCUCCUCUGGUUGCGGUUGCGUCUCUUUCUGACCUGCUUAGAUUCUUCAAUGAUAUAGUUAGGGUCAGUAAAAUAACAGUGUACCUUCUCUGAGGGGAAGUGCAUAUAGACUUCUCCGGUUCCAAUGUAGAUAAUUGCUUUAACGGUGCUGAGGAACGGUCUUCCAAGGAUGAUGGGUGGAUCAUACUCAACUUCUCCCAUGUCAACAACUUGAAAGUCUGUGUAGACAAAGUGAUCGUCUAUUUUGACUGGGACAUCAGAUACUAUUCCUUGAACUUCUCGAAAUGUCUGAUCUGCCAUCUGGAGCUGAAUGUAUGUUGGUCUUAGUGGCAUGGUCCCGAACAAGAGUCGAUAGGUGACUGCGGCCAUUAUGUUGACGCCUGAUCCGGUGUCGCAAAUCGUCUUGUAGAAGUUGUAUCCAUUUAUGGAGCAGUAAAUGCUUGGCAUUCCUGGGUCGUCCUUCUUGGUCAAAAACGGUGACUUAAGUUGAUGAUCUUGGCCUCCAUGGACUACAGUGACCAUCUUAGCUGACUCAGUCCACACUUGCUUGUUCCUGUUUCUCCUGUUGGUCCUCUUCCUUGAUUUACGUCUGGAUUGAUCUUGCAUUUGUGUAGUCUUGUUCUUGAAGAAAAAUGUCUCCUUUCUCCCUUUGACGUAGAAACUGAUCUUGGCAGCACUGGCGUAGAUGAUAGCUCCCGUGGUGUUCAAGAAUGGCCUUCCUAGGAUGAUAGGUGCUCUUUCAUCAUUUCCGGUCUCUACCACUACGAAGUCUGCUGGGGCAUAUAAGGUACCAACUCGGACACAAAGGUUCCUCACUAUUCCUUUUGGAAAAGUUAUCGUCUGAUCUGCAAACUGCAAACACAUGGUUGUCUCUAAUAAAGGAUAUGUAAAGAAUUUCUCAUAGAGUACCCUGGGUAUAAUGUUGACAUUGGAGCCAAAGUCGCAGAGUGCUUCUGGAACGUCCACCAUGCCGAUGGAGAUCGGGAUGACGGGGCGUCCUGGAUCGCCUCUCUUGACCGGCAGAAGGUCCGUAGAAAAUUCAUUGACGGGGUUACUCCAAUUACCUACAUCAAACAUGUCUACAAGAUUUGCAGAUUCUAAUCCUUUCGGUUGUGAUGGUAUACCGGGGUUAGUAGUAGGAACAGCAGCAGCUAAUUGAUUUAACUGGGAUUCAAUCAUUCUAUUAAAGCUAAUUUGAUUCUUGAUGGCAGUAGAGAAAUUAUUCAUUCUAUUAUUUAUAUUUUCUAGCAUUUUAUCAUUAGAUGCCAAUUUCUUAGAUAGAUUAUCCAUUAGCUUUCCUUGAUUAGACACUAACUCUCUCAAAGGUGGAAGAUUAUUAUUAUUGUUGUAAGAAUUGUUACCUUGAUAAUUACCUGAGUAGUUAGGCCUCUGUUGAUUCCAACCUUGAUUUUGUUGAGGACGGUUGUAGUAGUUGUUGUUUUUGUUGUUGAUGUAGUUCACAUCCUCAAGUAUCUCAGGGCAGUGGUUGCCUGAGUGUCCAGUGUCUCCACACUCCUCACAAGUCAUGUGAGAGUCGUAGAUGUGCAUAACUUCUUUCUUAUCUCCAGCUCUAUCGUCGAGCUUCUUCAUGAGCAGGUCUAGCUUUGCAGACAGCAUAUCUACCUCCUUCAGCUGAUGCAUACCUCCACCUCUCUUGCGUGUCUGGGUCCUCUCUUCAUUCCAGCUUUGAUUGGACGCCAUCUUCUCCACAAGAGCUGUGGCUUGUGGUAUAGUAAGUGAUAAGAAUGCUCCUCCAGCUGCAACAUCCAUGGUCUCUCGGGCACUGUUGCCGAGCCCAUGAUAGAACGUCUGCAUCAAUAGCCAACUCUCCAUUCCAUGAUGGGGACAUUCUAGGAUGUAGUCUUGAAUGCGCUCCCAUGCUUCUGGAACAGAUUCAUCAUUUUGUUGCUGAAAACUUGUAAUCUUCCCACGGAGAGCAUUGGUCUUGCCCAUGGGAAAGAACUUAGCCAGGAAGUUUGUUGAGCAGAGUGCCCACGUAGUAUUCUUCUCCUUUGUAGCGUAGAACCACUGCUUCGCUCUUCCUAACAGUGAGAAUGGGAAGAGGCGAAGUAGUAUAGCGUCUUUGGAAACUCCUGCUAUGGUGAAUGUGUUGCAAAUCUCCAGGAAGUGUUGUAUGAGCACUAGCAUCUUCGUGUGCCUUCCCACAGAACUGGUUGGAUUGCACCAUGUUGAUAAGUCCAGGCUUGAGCUCAAAGUUGCCAUCGAUCUCUGCAGCAGGUCCAGUGCGGAUGUUGUCCGUAGUGGGAGCUGAGAACUCGCGGAUUCAUUUGUUCGCCAUGGCUUCGAACUCUGAAGACAAGUUCCGGUGAUCUUCUUGAUUGGAUGAAGCUUCUUGCUGAAGUGUUGAUGAUUUCUUUAGCUUGGCUCUCGUCUUCUUGAAUAAUGCUUCAGGAUCAUCAACAAAAUUCCCUGGAAGAUGUCUUCUAUUCAUACAUUCCCCUGCAUAAUAUAAAGUAGAAAAAUAUCGGGGUAAAACUGUAUGAGAGAAUAGAUAAGCUCAAUCAUAUUAGUGAUGCGAAUGAUAACUCAAAAUCUUUUAUUCCAUUCUUGAUUAGUAAUCAACCUUCCCCGGCAACGGCGCCAAAAAUGUUUGUUGGGUAUUCUUAACAUCAUUACCAAAAGUAGACUAAGUCUCUAAAUCUAGCAACGGUGCCAAAAAUGCCAAACCUAUCCCUCACACCACUUAAGCCAAGUUGUCAUCCCCAGCAUGAUAUAAGAGACGCUGUAUUGAAAUAUGCAAUUGCUCUUCUAAAUAAAUAAUGAAUGGGAUCUGCAAGCGCACAGAUUAAUACCGAUGUAGCAUUUUAACCGGGAAGUAUUCCAGGUAUCGUUAUUUAUAUUUUUACCACUAGGAAGGGAUUAGCAAUCAUCAAUAUUGAUUACAGAAUAGAAUAUGAGAUUGAGCAUCUAUGAUUGCAUGUAUAAUUGAGAACAUUAUAUCUAACUCAUCAUACAGGGAUAAGUGUCACAUAAUAGAUAUAUGAAAUAAUAAUAGUGACAAGGAUAAUUAAUCUGAUCUAGCCACAUAAUAAAUAUGAUAAGCACCUCAAUUAGAUACUCUAGAAAGUCAUUAGCAUGGUCCUGCAUACUUUAUGUACCUGAUGAAUUCAGUCUUUAUGCCAGAAUUGGAUAAGUUUGUUGUGGUGUUUAUCGAUGAUAUUCUGGUUUAUUCAGAAAAUGAGCAAGAUCACGCCGAACAUCUGAGAAUCGUGCUGACAUGAUUACGAGAGCAUCAGUUGUAUGCCAAGUUCAGCAAGUGUGAGUUCUGGCUGAAGAAAGUUCCUUUCCUAGGGCACAUUCUGUCUGAAGAAGGGAUUGCUGUGGAUCCGUAGUGCAGGAAGUCAUGGACUGGAAGGCACUAACUUCUGUCUCGGAAGUUAGAAGUUUUCUUGGUCUGGCCGGGUAUUAUCGUCGUUUCAUACCUAACUUCUCCAAGAUUGCUAAGCCCAUGACAAGUUUGCUACAAAAGGAUCACAAGUUUGUCUGGACGGAAGGGUGUGAGUUAGCCUUCCGCACCUUGCGAAAGUUGCUAACCACUGCUCCCGUUCUGGCACAACCCAAUAUAGAGAAGCCUUUUGAUGUGUUUUGUGACGGGUCGAAGAGUGGCCUGGGGUGUGUGUUGAUGCAAGAUGGUAGAGUGAUAGCUUAUGCUUCUCGACAGUUGAGAAAGCAUGAAGUCAACUACCCAACGCACGACCUCGAGUUAGCAGCAGUAGUGCACGCUUUGAAGAUUUGGAGACAUUAUCUGCUAGGAAAUAAGUGUCACAUUUAUACCGAUCAUAAGAGUUUGAAGUACAUCUUCACUCAGUCCGAGCUAAAUAUGAGGCAAUGACGGUGGUUAGAGUUAAUCAAGGACUAUGAUCUGGAAGUUCACUAUCAUCCGGGCAAGGCUAAUGUAGUAGCAGAUGCGUUGAGUCGUAAACCGCACUACCAAGUGGUUCAACCGUUGUUUGAAGAUGGGUUCAAUCUUAUGCAUCCUGAGGUCUUAUGUCACAUACAACUCAGAUGUUCACUCGAGAGUCAAGUCAUUGAAGGACAGAAAACAGACAAGGGUAUUUUCCACAUCAAAGAAAGGAUCAAAGAUGACCCAAAAACUCAGUUUCGAGUUGAUGAGAAAGGGGUACUGUGGUUUCAACAUCAGUUAGUAGUCCCGAAGGAUCGAGAAUUGAAGAAUCGCAUCAUGGAUGAAGCCCAUCUCUCUAAGCUUUCUAUUCAUCCUGGCAGUAGCAAAAUGUAUCAAGAUCUAAGACCCCACUUUUGGUGGACUAAGAUGAAGAAAGAAAUAGCCGCAUAUGUGGCCCGUUGUGACACGUGUUGCAGAGUUAAGGCCAUCCAUAUGAAACCUGCAGGUCUGUUGCAACCGUUAUCAGUUCCAGAAUGGAAAUGGGAGGAGGUCAGUAUGGACUUUAUCACAGGAUUACUGACCACGAGGAAGGGGAAUGACUCAAUUUGGGUAAUCAUAGAUCGAUUAACCAAGUCGGCUCAUUUCAUUCCAGUUAAGAACACAUACAGACCUCCCGAGUAUGCCGAUAUAUAUAUGGCUAAGAUUGUCAAGUUGCAUGGUAUUCCCAAGACCAUCAUAUCAGAUAGAGGACCACAGUUCACCGCUCACUUCUGGGAGCGAAUGCAUAAGAAUUUGGGAACCAGUCUGAUAAGAAGCACGGCGUACCAUCCCCAGACUUCAGGUCAAACGGAGAGGCUAAACCAAGUAUUGGAAGAUAUGCUGAGGGCCUAUGUGCUAUCGUCCAAGGGAUCAUGGGAGUCAUGGUUACCUCUGGCUGAAUUCUCCUACAAUAACAGUUAUCAAGAGAGCAUCAAGAUGGCCCCGUUCGAAGCUCUGUAUGGUCGGAGGUGUAGAACUCCGCUAAACUGGGUUGAACCUGGGGAAAGGAGAUACUAUGGUAUCGACUUCGUGAAUGAGGCCGAGAAGAAGGUGCAAAUCAUACAGCAGCAUAUGCAAGCAGCGCAAUCACGACAAAAGAGUUAUGGUGAUAAGAGAAGAAGGCCACUUGAAUUCAAAGUAGGUGACUAUGUGUACCUCAAGGUCACGCCAAUGAAGAAAGUUCAGCGUUUCCGAGUUCGAAGCAAGCUUGCACCCAGAUAUGUGGGACCAUAUCAAAUUCUAGAGAGAAAAGGCCCAGUGGCCUACAAGAUUCAGUUACCUGAAGAGUUGAAUUCGAUCUUUCCGGUCUUCCAUGUGUCGCAACUGCGGAAAUGUUUGAAAGUACCUGAGCAAAGAAUUGAACCUCGAGGGAUCAAAAUAAAAGCAGACUUAGAGUAUAAGGAGCAACCAGUGGGAAUUGUGGAUACCAAGGAAUGGGUAACCCAAAACAGAAUUGUCAGAACUUAUAAGGUGGUGUGGAGUCAUCAUGACGAUAGGGAUGCCACCUGGGAAACAGAGGAUUACUUGAAAACAGUUUAUCCAAAAUUUCAUAAGAAAUGGUUAGUAACCCAAAAUCUCGGGACGAGAUUUCCCUAAGGGGGGAAGGGCUGUAACACCCUAGGUGUUAAGCAUGCAUUUAGCACUAUCACAACAUGCAUAAGCAUUCUCAUCAAGCAUAGCAUCAUGAGCAUGUCAUUCAUCCCAAAGCCUGAUUUUAUGUGCUUUAUUUCAUGUGUUUUAGUUAUGCUAGAAAUAUGAUGCUUGCUUCUAAAAAUGUGAAAUAUUCAAACUAGUUUGAUUUAUGUGUAAGAAGAAUUUAGAGUACUUUUGUGUAAAUUUUGGAGCUAUGGAAUUUGAGAAAUGGAAUUUAUACAAGAUUUCCAAAUUGAAUUUAUUUAAAAACCUAGAACUAAGUUUUAAUUUGUAAUUCAAAUUCUAUUUGGAAUUUGGUCUUGCUUAUUAAAGCAAAGUUGUAGAGUUUUUGUUUUGGAACAACUUUGUUUUUGGGAGUAAGAGGUGAAAAUGAUUUCAAAUUGGUCCAAAUAAAUUUAGAAAGAAUGUGGAGAAAAGAAAUUCAAAAAAAAAGGAAAGGGGCAGGCGCUGCUGGGCCAACCCCGCUUCCCUUUCGGCCCAGCGAGCGGCCCGGCCUGCCUCCCCCUUCCCCUCUCUCCUGCGCGCGGCGCCCGCCUCGCUCCACCCGGCGCCGGCCACGUGGCGGCCGUACGCCGGCGUUGGACGCGCCGCGGCCGGCCUCCAACCCCCCUGGUCGGGACGCCGGCUCGGGCUCCCAGGCCAUUUCCUCCGUUCUGUCCCCCGCGCCCUCCUUCUCCUUCCUCCCUCCGCUCGCACCGCGUAGCAGCAGCAGCUCCUCCACGUGCCAUUGCCGGAGAAAGCCCCGCCGCUCGCCGCCGACCGCACCAGAGCCUCAAGCUCACCGCCGAAAGCACCAGCGCCUUCGUCAUCGUUAGGGUAAGCUUGUGCGCGCGUUCUACUAAGGUGAGAGUCCGUCGAGCGCCAUGAAUCGCUCGCCGGAGUUACCCCGAGCUCGCCAGAGUACUCCGCCGCGAUGGAUCUUGUGUUUCUCUGCCUCUUUUCGCUGGUUCUUGGGUGCGCUAGGUCGGUAGGGUGGUGAGGAAGCUCGGAGAGGCGUUUGCGCACGCUCUACCGCGCCGGAGCGGCCUAGCCACGGCGAACAGCGCCGCCGUGCCGCCAUGCAUGCUCGUCGGAGGUGUUCCGGUCAUCCUCCGGCCAAUCCAAGGGUACCGUUGGGUGCGCCUCGCUGCGGGAAGCACGUUAGUGCUUACCCUGUGGCCGGAGACCUCACCGCCGGCGAGAUCUGCUCGUCGGAGGUGAGCUCCCUCUCGGUCUCGCUGACUGGUGGGGUCGGGGACCCACUGUCAGUCGCAGGGGGGACCCCAGUGGGUGUAGAUCUGGGUGCGCGUAGUCUUUUUCGUUGGUUUUCUUGAAUAAAUGAUUUCCAGAAAUUGAUUCAAAACUUGUAAAAUUUAAAUCUUGAGUUCUACAGCUCCAAAUUGGAUGAAAUAAAUUUUGGUGUGCCCUAUAUUUCCAGAUCUACAGUUUGAUGUAAUUGCAUGUCAUGUUUGAGUAACUUUUCUGAAUGAAUAUAUUUAAUCCAUGUUUUUGCUAAACUUGGAAAAUGCAUAGUAAAUAAAAUAUGGUUCAGAAAAAUAUGAAACUUGUUUAUGGGCCUUGCAUGUAUGUUAACUCAUUGGGAAAAUAUUGCUACACAUUAUUUGGUGUAUCAAUGAAUUUAUGGUAAUUUAAAUGCUUGCAUGGCAGUGGUUUAUGAUUUUUAGUAAUUAUUUGGAUCAUGCAAUAAAUCUGGAAAAUUUUGUGAGUGUUUCUUAUGAUAUUAGACAAAUUGUAAAAAUAUGAAAUCUGUUGUUUGACAUUUAUAUCACAGUAGAGUGAUUAUACUUAUCCUAUGAAUUAAUCUUGUGAUUUUUGUGGCUCAAAAUAAGUAUCCAAAAAUUAUGAAAAAUUUACAGUAGACUUUAUGCUUAGCUGGUAGUCUCCUGUAAUUUUUGUGGAAUUUACUAAUGAACAGAACUGCAUGUAAAUUUUAAUGGGCCUAGAAAUGAAUAAAGAAAAUUAUGAAUUGUCAUGAGUAGGUUAAAUAGAAUAAGUUUGGGUUUGGUGUAUCUUUGAAGCAUCAUGUGGGUUGCUGGUUGCACUUGAAAAACAAUUUGUAGAAGAGAAUGCAAUAGAUGUUUGAUUCAAUUGUUUGUCCUUGGAUGAUGUUGACUACCUCGUAAUGAGCAUGACCAAGUGUAUCAUCCAUGCAUCAUGUCAUGACUCCUUUGGUACUUUCUCAUACAAGCAUCCACUCGGGCAUCUCGCACUUCACUCAUGAGCACCCAUGCAUCAUACAGGCUCGCAGGAGAACGAGGUGGGACCCGAGGAGCCAGAGGAGAUUCAGGAGCAGGAACCUCCGGAAGCACAGGAGUCCGGAGAGGAACUUCAGGAGUGUCCGGAUCACCGACCAAGCACGUUUGAGAAAGGCAAGCCCCGGAGCAUUCUAAGUCCCCCUAUUCUCGCUAACUUAUAUGAUGCGCUAUAAUUGUUCUACUAUAUUGCAUCUAAGUGAUAGGAUUUGAUUGACACCGUUGAUGCAUAUGUACUCCUUGUUAUCCCUACUCGUUCACCUACCUUGUCCUAUGUAGAUAGGCACGGAGUCUAUGCUUAGCUUGCUUAGUCCGGUAGAAGUCGGGUGAUUUCCUGUCACCUGCGAGAAAUAGGUGGAUACCUGCUUGAUUAAGCAUUGGUUGCUUGGGGAAAAGAAUAACCAAGUGUGAAAUGUAAUUGGAGACCGGGCAGGGUCUUAUGGUGGGUUGACUAUAGUGCCCCUGCCUGUGUCGAUUAAGGACCGAUCGUUGACGGCCCUCUUGUCAUGUUGAACGCAUGCCCCACACUUAGCUGGAAGGAUAAGUCAUUCCGACCGCGAAGCCUGAACACUAUUCGGGCCGGGAAUCGAGCCACCAUGCGCUGUAUUGCUGAUGGUUGAGGAGAACGACGAGGGCGCGGCGCGCAACCUUGGUAUACCUUGGAUACCUCGGUCGCCGGAACGGUCCUCGGGUACUGGCGGUGCCUGCCGAACCCGCGAAUUGGUCCUGGAUAGUGUAAUAUGGUGAUCUGUAGCUCACUUGAUCAGUGAGUAUGGUUUGUGUGGGGAAUAAACUCGCCAGCUGGUUAGAAAUCGAUUCGAAUCGCCAUCGCUCCUGGAUAGUGAGCACUUGACAUGAGCUUCGUCCUCGUAGUAAGGACUAGGGAACACUUGGGUUAUGUUGAUGAAUGGUUUUAAGAAAUGCUAUGAUGAGGUACUAUCAUAGCCUUAUACUUGCUUGUAAUAGUGCAGGUGCAAACCUAGAUGAUAGGUAAUGAUACUUUCAACUUGAGCAAAUUAAAAGAAGAAAGACUUAUGUAGGUUAUGAUAGUAAAAUCCUGCGGUUUUGCAAAAUGGUUGUCAGCUGCCCCACUAUAUAGCCUUCAUGAUCCUUUGUGAGUCUUUAUUUGAAUUUAUGACGGGUAAGUCUAGCUGAGUACCUUCUCGUACUCAGGGUUCUACUCCCAUGUUGUUUUGCAGAUGGUCAAAUGUACUAUGGUUAUUGCAUCCUCUGUCUGUACCCAGCCAUGGGUGAUGACUAGACCAAGGGCGAUGGUCACUCCGUCUCUUAUUUAGCUUUUGUGGGAAUGACCGAACUAUGGCACUGUAUCAGGCUAAGUGUGUGUGUUGUAUUUUCGAACUAUGAAGCUUCCGCUACUUGAAGAACUUGGUUUGUAAUAACUUUAAGAACUCCGAUGUAUUUUAUGAAGGUUGUAAUCUGGAUGUAUUUGUGAAUGGCGACCGCUAAACUUAUUACGAUCUUGGCUGUUGUGCAAUAUGUGGUUUGAAAUCCUUCGAGAUUUCACGGACUACCGGGAUUAUAUGGGCUUAAGCGUGAUGGUUUGACUAUGCAAAUGGUCACUGUUAGGCUUAAUCUCUUAUAAUUUGGUCGGUUCUGUUACAAUAUCCACAAGUAAUCUAGGUCUAAGCACCACGCUUACACCUAUACUACAACUCUCACCAUAGCGUCCUAUAGAUUAAAGUACUCAAAAGAGUUGUGAACCAGAACAUACAUGGAUAGUAAUUGCAUAAUGAAAUAGAAGUAGAUUACCAGAGUCAUCCCAUGAGCAAGCUUGAUUAGAGCUUGAUCAUGGCAAAGUACAACCGGAGGAAGAACCGACAGGCCGGCCUCUCCUCCAAUCCUCCCUCGCUCUCCAUCUCGCUACGAUCUAGAUCUACUCUAGUUUAGAGAAGAGAGGAGAGCUCUCAUCUCCAAACUCUAGCUUUUGCUCUGUCUAUGAAUAAUGAAUAGGGAUCAAGGGGUGCCUCCUCCAGGGGCUAGGUGGUCUGCUUAUAUAGUCCCCUCAAGUGAAUCUAGGCCGUCAUAUCAAACCAACAUAGAUUGAACGGUUAUCCUUGAUCCUUUAGGUCGGUGGAGCAUAAUCCGCGAGGUUGAACGUGAUUGGCCACUGUAGCAGGGCUGGCGCCCAAGGGGGGAGGGCGGGCGCCUUGCCCCCGGGCCCGUUCGCCUUCCCGUUCGUUCCCGUGGCUUCUGGAGUCUUCUAGAUGACAGAAAAUUGCGCGGCACGUUAAUAUCUCUAUGUAAACCUGACGUGUGGGCCUUUCUUCUGUAUCUCCUGAUAACCCCCUGCAGAAGUAGACAAACACCAAAACUCGUGGAAUUCUGUCAGUUAAAACCCUAAGUCUGGGUGUUGGUUGCAUUUGGAUCCUUUUCUUUAUUUAUUUGAUGAUUAUAUUUGGUACUUAAGGACCGUCAACAACUCCCCCAAGAUUACCUCUUGCUCGUCCCUGAGCAAGGAUGAACUCAAGAGUUUCUGCAGUGGUUUCAUGCCUUAAAGGUACACAUGUGUUCAAGCAAGAUCUCAUCUCUGAGUUAGAGUAAACUGUUAAGAUUUAAACUUACUCAUAUUCCCUUCCACCACGGGGCUUGCAACUGUCACUUGUGUCUUGAGCAGUUAAAAGAUAGAACAGUCAAGUCAAGCGCCAUGUCUCUUGUUCUUGAUCAACUAUAGCUCUGGAGUUUUUGCAGAUUCUCAAAUAAAACUUAGAGAUUCCUUGUAUGACUCUCUCAAAUCUGUCUUUUAUGGUAUUUCUAGAUCCUUACCAAGGCAGUGAUGGUAUAUGCCUUCUCUCAAAGUAUGUGGUAUUUGUGGUAUGAGGCAUAGUGACGUUGCCUUCUCUCUCAUCAUACUCUAAUAAGGCUUGAUAUCUGGAGAUCAUAAGUGGGAGAUAAAGUAUACAUACUUACAAGACAUUUAUUGCAUAGUCAAACCAUGGAUCCAGAGAAACAAGUUAAUAAGUCAAAUCAAGAGGUGCAUGUGUGGCGAAUGAAUGGUGUAUGGUGAUAAUGGUGAUAAUGGUGAAAGCAAUGGUGAAAGUCUAAUUCUAGUUUUGCUCUUUUGAGGGGAUACAUACCUUUCUUGCACUUUUGAAACUUUUUGAGGAGAAUGAGAUGCUCUAUAUUUUCUUUUUCUUUUCUCUCAGGUGGGUAUCUUGUACCCCUAAUUCUACUGUCGGACACUUGUCCAUUUUUACCUCUCGUCUCACUUUUUUCUUUUCUUCGAGGUUUCGGGCACUUGCCCCUUUUUAUUUCCUCAUAUUUAUUUUUUUUCUUUUUUUUCUUUCAGAGCACUCACCCUCCUAGAAUAAUGUAGCAAGUGGUAGUAACCAAAAUAUCUCGAGCAUUUAUUUCACGGGGAAUAACACGGAUAGGAUAAUGUUUUUGGCUAUUUUCUCCUAGAUAGGAGUAGAAUAAUUUUAGGUGAAUCUGGAGAUGGAAAGGAGUGGAUGUAUGUGGAUGCGUACUUCUGGAGUAGAAGCAGCAUGUAUGAGUGAACGUGCAAGUGAAUCUUGAUUUUAACCGCAUGACAAGCUCCUAAGGUUCUACACAGCUUGACCACACUCAAUGCUUGUAAGUAGUAAAAAGUAAAUGUAUGGUUCAUAGUCUAAUAAGCAUGUAUAUAUGGCUAUGGUAGGAUUUUAAACUCUUAUCAUACAGGAACUCAUCAUGCAACAUUUUAAAGAUUUUCAAAUAUAAAAUUCUCCAGAAUUCUAGCAACUCAGGAAUAG
rnacentral:lncRNA from 1 species